UUUUCUUCCAACUCACAGAGCUUUCUUCGCCUUUCCUUUCCUCUCUUUCUUUUUUCCCUUCACUUUCCUUUCUUUGAUUCCCAACUUCCCAACUUCAAGCUAAUGUAAUUCUGCUUACUUCCCACUUUUUCUUAUCUCCAGUGGUGGUGGUGAGUUCUCCCUAGUUCUUGUUCUUCCCUGGUGGUGGUGGGGAUCACAUUUUUUUUUUUGUUUCUUUCUUCUUUGCUGGUGGAAGGAGCUAUGAAUCCCCUUAAUGGAAAGGGAUCCCUCUCCGCUUCUGUUUCCAGAGUCAACUGGAAAUCCGGCGAACCAGUCGCGGAUCAGUUCCCCGCCGGACUCCGUGUUAUGGUCGUUGACGACGAUCCCACUUGCCUCAUGAUUUUGGAGAAGAUGCUCAGAACCUGUCUUUAUCAAGGUAGUUUACCGGCUUCAUGCUCAAAAGUAGAGUGAUGGGUUUUAAGAUCUAUUUGGAAUUAGCUUUGUUUUGCGACCAAUUUUCGGAAUCUAAUUUGAAUUUGGUUUGACUUGUGAUUAUCUUUGAGAUUUCUGCUGCCUUUUUUCAAUUGGAUUGAUCUCCUUUAUCUUCUUUUCCUUGUAAAUUUCCAAUCUUCAGUGAAGAAAUGCAGUAGAGCAGAGGAGGCCUUGUCAAUCUUGAGAGAGAACAGAAAUGGGUACGAUAUAGUGAUAAGUGAUGUACAUAUGCCGGAUAUGGAUGGGUUUAAGCUGCUGGAGCUUGUUGGUCUGGAAAUGGAUCUGCCUGUUAUCAGUAAGUAUAUUAUCUGCAAUCUUUGUUUGUGAUUUAGGGUGUGAUAGAUGAUGAUGAUGAUGAUGAUUGUGGAACUUUAUUGUGUGAAAAUCUUGAAGUGAUGUCUGCGGAUGACUCGAAGAGUGUGGUAAUGAAGGGAGUCACUCAUGGUGCUUGUGACUAUCUGAUAAAGCCGGUUCGGAUCGAGGCUUUGAAGAACAUAUGGCAGCAUGUUGUUCGUAAGAAGAGGAGUGAGUUGAAGGAAGUGGAGCAAUCUGAGAGUGCUGAGGAAGGGGAUUCUAGGCAGCCUAAACAGUCUGAGGAUGCCGAUUAUUCUUCCUCGAUUAAUGAAAGUAACUGGAGAAAUUCCAAGAGACGGAAGGAUGACGAUGAGGAAGGAGAGGAUAGGGAUGACACCUCCUCGUUGAAGAAGCCUCGAGUCGUUUGGUCUGUUGAGCUGCAUCAACAGUUUGUCGCUGCGGUUAACCAGCUUGGCGUAGACAGUAUGUCUCUUCUUACUCAUUACCGGACCGAUCCCUUCAUUUUGUUAGCAACUUUUCUAAAUUAUGUAUCCGUUGAUUCUUAAUGUCUUAUGUGUUUGUUGGAUCUGAUCAUACAGAGGCCGUGCCGAAGAAGAUUCUUGAGUUGAUGAACGUACCUGGACUCACUAGAGAAAACGUUGCUAGCCACCUUCAGGUAUGCUCUAAAUGAACUAUUUACAAUGUCAAUUCUUGUUCAUACAGUCUAUUUUUUCCCGGUUGAUGCAUCAGAGCUUGAGAAAGUUUGAUGUGUUUCUAAUUUGAUGCCCCGGUUUUGUGAGGUACAGAAAUAUCGAUUGUAUCUGAGAAGGUUAAGUGGUGUUUCUCAGCAUCAAAACAAUUUGGGGAACUCGUUUAUGUCCCAAGACCCAGGUUAUGGACCAUUGUCCACACUUAAUGGACUAGAUCUUCAAACGCUUGCUGCCACUGGCCAGCUCCCAGCUCAAAGUCUUGCAACCCUUCAAGGUGCAGGAUUAGGUCGAGCGGUUCCAAAGUCCAGGAUCCCAAUCCCUGUAGUUGAUCAGAGGAGCCUGUUCAGCUUUGAGAACCCGAAAUUGGCUUACGGAGAUAGCCAACAGCAACAGCAACAUCAUUUGGGUGGUGGUAUGCAGAUGAACUUGCUUCAUGGAAUUCCAACAAAUAUGGAGCCAAAGCAGCUUGUGAAUUUGCACCAUUCGGGAUCAUCUCAUGGAAGCAUGAACGUGCAAGUUAAUUCUCAGAGUGGGUCUCUGCUAAUGCAAAUGUCUCAACCACAGUCUAGAGCACAGAUGCUAAAUGAUCAUACUGUAGCCAACCAAGUUCCUAGGAUUCCUUCGACUGUAGGUCAGCCGAUCAUGUCAAAUACCCUUGCUGGCGGUAUCAUGUCGAGAAAUGGUAUGGACGAAAGCAACAGACCAAUGGGAUAUAAUAAUCCAGCUUCACAGUCUUCAUCAAUCAUGAACUUCCCCUUGCACAGCUCAGCAGAACUGCGAAGUAAUAAUAGCUACCCUCUUCAGAAUAAUCCAGUUGUAGCCAACCUCUCGUCAAAAGGUGCUUUUCAAGAAGACGUGGCCUCAGAAAUGAAAGGAGCGCCAGGAUUCAUGCCUAGCUAUGACAUUUUUGGUGACUUGAACCAGCAGAAGGCCCAUAAUUGGGAGCUGCAGAAUGUUGGCUUGACCUUUAAUGCCUCGCAACAAGGCAAUAUUGAGGUGGGCUCUUCGGGUGUAUCUCGUCAAGGUUUUCCCUCUGGUCAAGGAAGUGGCCAAUCCAGGAAUUCAGCAGCUAUUGUAAGCAGGCCGCCUAUGUUCUCUGCUGCUGGCGUGGAACAUGUGAACAACACAAUAAGUGUCGGCCAGCAUAUGAAUAACCUCUAUUCCGAGAAUAAUCCGGUUAGUAUUAAAGUUGAAAGGAUUGAUACAGGCAAUCAGACUACUCUCUUUCACGAGCAAUUUGGUCAAGAUGAUCUCAUGACUGCAUUACUCAAGCAAGUAUGUAGCUUUUCUCCUUGAUUUGACUCUUUCUGAUUCAAUGUCCUGCUCUUGAACUCUCGACUCUUUCUGAUUCAAUGUCUUGCUCUUGAACUUUGGUUUGACCAUAUUCUCACUUUUUGCAGCAGCAGGGAGGCAUUGGACCAGCAGAUAAUGAGUUUGACUUAGACGGGUAUACCUUCGACAAUAUUCAUGUAUAGGAAUGUCGAUCAAGCUCCAAUACGGCCUUGGUUGGUCAAUGCAGUUGCUGAUGUACAUACAUGCAGUCGCCUGUGGACCCUGAUCUCUUCAAGUGACAGCAUAGUGAUUCAAAGUUAGAUGGAAUUGUUCAGGAAGGAAAAUAUUUGGUUGCUUUUUCAGGUAGCUGCAUUUCAUCUGUCAAUAUUGAGAGUUCUGCUGGGUAUAAAGGUGGUGGGGGCAUAAAAGAACCAGAAUGGGGAAGUUGCUAUCACUACGAGGCAUGAUAUGAGAAGGCAUAGCAUGCAAAUUUUUGGAAGGAAAGUCUGUCUAGUAUUUGAAGCAGCAAAGAAACUAAUUAUUAGGAGGGAGCAAAUUGUGGUUAUCUUGGGCUAGAUGAUGUGCUUCAGUAGAAGUUUGCAGAAGAAAAGUAGCUAGCUAGGAAAACCUGUUUUUCUAACUCUAAUAACUCAGUUUGUGAUCAUUUGAUUUUGAGUUUGCUCUCUUGCUUUUUUUUUCCAGAUUUGUUAUUUCAGGAACUGACCUUGAUUGUACAUAUUCUAUUCCCCCAUUUGUUUGCUCUUUAGACAUAAGUCCUUCCUGGGUAUAUUUUUCUCCAGGAUGUUUUCCUCUUGUAUUUGAAUGAAUAUUCCAGCAACUCUCUUUUAUUUUAUCUCAUCUAAUCAUCAUACCCCUAUCUGUUUUUAGCCUUUUAGGGUUGGUUUGGCAAUGGAAAUCAAGAUUUUUAAGAAAAUUAAGUGGAAGGAAAUUGAGUUGAGAUUGGUAAAGGUUGUGUUGUUCCCGUAUAAUACAUUUAUCGUUUCCUUGUCAUCUAAACAAAACAUGUAUGAAUGAAUGUAGUUUUUCAUCAGGAUAAAACAAUAGAAUAGAACUCUCGUCAGAUAUUACACCUCCCAAACAGAGCCUUAAAUCGAAACCAUGGAAUUUGGGAGCAAAAUAUAUUCAAGAUGAAGCCAAUAAAGCAAGCAAACAGACAAGAUACAAUACAAUGCUGAUCAGUUCAAGAUUGAUCUUUGUAAGAGCAUAUAACUUGGAAGGAAAAUUACAAAGAAAUAGAGUAAUAGUAGUAGCAGAAGUAGUACUAAAGACCCAAACUUGAAAUCCUGUUAGGGACAACAUCUACAGGAACAGGUUUUACAUUUUAAGCUUCAGUUCUUCAGUAUGUCUGUCACAGUGCAGCAGUUUUCAACUGGGGAUCCUGCUGUCCCCAUCAUCAAACUUGGAAUAGUAUUUACCAAUCUCUCGACUUCAAUGCCUGCUCAAUUGUACCGAUCAUUGAACAUAAACCAAAAGAAUGAAAAAAUCUUCACAUCACCCAACAGCUACCAUAGAUCCUGCCUCAGUAGGGAUGCCACCAGUGUUCCUAGUAUUAGAGACAGAAUUGUCACAGGAGCCCUUCGGUUAACGCUGCUCGUUGGGUACAUUGUAGGAAGAGAACAUUCUUCACCAUUGAAGAACACUUUAGUAGGGAAACCAUCUCCGAGUGGCACAUUAAUUCCAGGUGUGGUUCUCUUGGUAAAUGAGACCACAGACUGCUGUUUUCCGGGGACUCUUGGAUCCUUGCUUGGGUUGAGACCAUCAGUCUCCCCAACUAGGUAGUUCAGUCCAGGAAGACCCUGCAUGAAUAUGGUGUUGUUGGAAUUCGGCAGCAUGGUUCCAUUAAAUGAAUACAUGGCUUCGAAACCUCCGGCUGCUUUGUCCAUUUCGACGGCAACAAACCAAUCAGGGAAAGGAAUCUCCGCCCAGUUGAAGAGCGUGAUCCUAGAACUCCAUCCUCGACUGUAAUCAGUAUUCACAUGCCAAUUGAUGCUCACCCCACAGUUAUCAGCACACGGCAUCGGGUUGGGGAGUGCUCGAUGCUUGAUGUUGGCCCAAGCAGCGGUCAUGGCGGAACGAUUCUCAAAAGGAACCAGGAGAGCAUUGGGCGGAAGAAGAACCGCCGGAGUAUUUGCACUACAAGUCUGAGAAGCUGCUUUAUUAGGGCACCCACAAGCACAGGUAUUGCAUGGGACAACCGAAUCGUUGUAGAAUGCGGAGAAUGAAACGCAGCAACGAGGGCUCGAUCCCUUCUGUUGCGUGAUGUUGCACACCACCUGCCAAGUAGCAACUGCAGUAGAAUUCGAUGGUAAACCACUUGGGUCCAGGAACUCACUUGGGCUCACCCUAACAGGAGGUCCACAUUGAUAAUCAGGGUUCAACGUGCCAUUGAUCUUCCAGUUCUGUGGCGGGGAAAGCUCUGAGCGGGUCAGAUUAGGAGGCAUUUUGAAAACCUGCAUCUGGAAAGAAGAGACCGACUUGCUGGGGUCCAUAGAUGGUGGCAAGAUUGUGCCGUUCCGGCAACAAAAAGGGAUCAUUCCGAGUGUGGUGUCGUUGAACUUGGUUGGGGGCAGAUCGAUAAUUGUCGGUCUCCUUUCACAGUUCAGCACGGUGGAGAAGUCCAGCUGUUUGUAGUAUUCGCCCUGAGGACCAAAUAUGCAGGGAGAGGAAUCUACGAGUGAAGGAUACGCACCCUUCAUUGAGUUGAUGAACUCAUCCUGCAUCCAGUCCCAGCUCAGUUUCCAGUUAUCGAGACGGCCUAAGUGAUUGUGGUUGGUGAUGGUAACUUGUGCCCAGUAACUCGAAUCAUAAGCUCGGAUCACAUCGUAAGCUAUCGUCAAAUCGCCACUCUGGCGAGGCAAGAAAUCCCCAUCUAGUAAUGUGAUGUUCGAUUUGGCUUUCUCGUCUUUGACGCAGCAAGUCGACAUAGCACCGCCUGCCAAAUCCACAAACAAAAUAUAAUAGCUGUCCAUCAUCAACAUCAAUGAUAGCAAUUACAAACAUUCAAAGGAAACAAAAGAACAAACAUGAAGCAUUCACUACUAUCCAUCAAACAACUUUCUAGUUACAUCACAAUUUCAUAUUGCUACAAUUCAUGUCCUAAAUCAUAUCUCAAUGGGGCAAAAACAAAAGCUGCAAUUCAAGUCAACGAUAAUUCACUAGUCAAUUCAAUCCCUAGUCUAAUUCAAUGAUCGUCCAAUCAACCCGAAAUCAUCGCCGAAAAUGAGAUCUAAUCCCACACAGAAAAAGAAAACCCUGAUAAUCGUAAUUCUGAUUACCUAGAGUGGUGGUAGCAGGGCAAGACCAUCCAUCAUUCACCAGAGUAAUAUUAGUCGGCCAAGGAAUCGCCGGCGGCUUGACCCCGAACUGAGUCCCCAAGAGCUUAACCUCGACGGAAGUCUGAGUGGAGUCCCCAGCGGUCUCAAUCGCGGUCUUCAAGUCAGUCAUAGGGAACCCGGCGAAAACGGUACCGUUCCCGACUAAAGCAGGGUAGCUGGAGCCGUCAGCUAGAAUCGCAUUGGUGGCAGAGACAAGGAUCUCAUCGUGCUUAAACCCUACAAAGGCUUGCCAGGACUUGAGCUUCUCGAUCCCGUUGUUCUGGACGGUGAGUGUGGACUCGAAUCGGUAAGGCUGGUGUUUCGGAUCAGUAGGCCUGAUCUUGGAUCCGGACCCGUAGCGGUAAGACAGGAAAAUCCCGUUGCAGUUGUCCGCCGCGGGUGCCGGAGCGGCGUCAUCCCCCGCCGGAGCUGGAGGCGUCGUCUGGGAAAUCGUGUGAAACGGUAGGAAGAGGAGGAAGACGGGGAGAGCUAGAGAGAAGGAGAUAGCUGACGGAGGCAUGGUUAUGGGGGAUAGUGGGGUUUCUCCGGCGGAGAUGGAUGGAGGAGGAAGAGAAAGAGACGUGGAGAAAAUGGAAGCUGGGUUUUAGUUUUUGUAGCAGAGAGGAAGAGAGUGGGAAACGCGUCCGGGAGUGGGUAUAUUUUUUCGAAGAAGGGAGAAGACGACAGCUUAGUAAAAGCUGUUAUUUUAUUAUGCGGAGAAGAUUAUGGUGUUUGCUUUUUGGUUCUGUUUUUAAGGGGUUUUUUUAAAUGUUUUAAGGAGGGUAUUUUCUUUUUAUGAAAAACCAACAAACUUUGAAUUUUUUUUUAUUUUUACAAAUACUUUAUGACCAAUUAUAUUAGUUCUCAAAUUCUCUUUUACAUUCGAAUUGAAUUUCAGUCCUUUAAAGAAUCAGCUAUAUUCUUCCAUAAAAUUCAUAGGUUUGAGGUGGGAAGUGGGAGAAAAUCAGAAGGAGAGAGAUGGAAAGCGAAGUGAGAGAGAAAGUCCCGUUGAGUUUGAACAAACAAUACUUUGGCCCACGCUUUCUUUGCUAUUUUGAAUUCAAAUACCGACCCAGUCAUGGGUGGCCCAGCGCCAGUUUGCAUUGAAUUUUUGUGCCACGAUGGACGGUGAGGAUUAGUAAACUACCAUCUCUUACUUUAAUCAAGUUUUUUCUAACUAAUAACAUCUGCAAAAUCCUUACAACAUCUUUGUACAAGUAUAUACAUUUCGGUACAUUUGUACAAAACAUAUACUACUGCUGUUCAUAUUCUUAUACAUACUCUGGAGCAGCUUUAGAGAGCGCGUAAAUCAUUCAUUCUUAGGGGGUAAGCCCUUCCACUUACGCAUUACCUAUUUCCUGUCCUAAAAAAAGAAAUCUGUUGGCGGAACGAACAUUCAAACAUUCGCUGAACACAAACACAAUCUCGAUGAGAAUCAGUACACGGAAGUCGAUCAAUCCACGAAGGUAUGACACUUCUACACCCUCUGCUAGCAGUUUUCUUCUCUUAAGAGAUUUUCGAAAACAAGGGUUCAAUGUAUAUAGACGAUCAAGUUACCAUAGACAACUCAAAUGGAUUGGUUGAGUCCAUUGACUUAACCCAACCGGUAGUUAAACCCAAGAGAGAGGCCUUAUCCCACAAGCAGACGGAAAAAAAAUCCCAUGAUCACACACUUACAUCUGAGUUUGAGUUUAUAUAAAGGUUGUUAUAUCACGCCUGGAUUUUUACUAUAAAACAUCCUAAUAUUUUAAUUUUAUAGGUAGAAUUAUGUGAAUGUCCUUCGAAUAUAAUGUAUAAAUACACCCGAUCUAAUUCAGAACAAAUACAUGACCUAACUCGCACCUUCCGGUCGCCGUCACUGUUGCAUCCGCCGCCGACGCCGCCAUUACGAGGUACCUUUCUUCGGAAUAAAUUAUUUUCGUUGUCGCCGUGGCCGCAUCCGCCGUCGCCAUUACGUAUAUUCCCUUUUAAAAAAAUCGAUUACCGUCAGCGACCAAUUAUAUAACACCGUCGCCAUUGAACGACGGCCAAACCGUGUAUCCAUUGCACAAGUGGAUUUUGAUUGGCUGCGAGAUGAGACAUUCAUUAGUUGAGGGAUUUUAUAAAUAAAUGUAUCAGAACAUUUGCAUAAUUUUCUAUACCAAAUUUAAAUUUUAAAACAUUUAUAAGUAAAAAUUAAAGCGUUAUAUAUUCAGUUAUAUAGAUACGUACAGAGUUUAUGAAUACACAACUCUAUAUGGGUAUACGAUGUGAAGGUUGUACGGUAAAGAUGGAAGUCUGACAACUAUUCAACAAUGUAAUUAUGAGGAGAGAGACAUUUCUAAUUUGCUUAUCUUUUAUAAUCAUUGUUAAGAAUAAUGAAAUUAUGGUUUUAUGAAUAGCAUUUAACCAACCAAGCAACCAACGUUAGAUAAAGAUUUUAUGUGUAGAAUGGGUUGAAAUGGUCAAUAAACGUGAAGUUUGUCUCGUCCCCUAAUCAAUACACUCUCACACAAGCCCAUGAAUACACACUAUCAUGUGUAAACUCUCGCACAAUAAUUUAAAACAAAUUCAGCUAUAUAACCAUCAUCUUCUACUAUAUAUUAUUCAUUUUUAUAUAUACUAAAAUUAUCCACAGUAUACUACAGAAAAAAUUUAAAAAUAAGUAAAGAUAAAUAAAUUUUUUUAUAAAAAAUAUAUUAACAAAAUCAAAACAUGAAAUAUUUUAAUACAUGUCAAUUGAAAAAUGAAAAAUACCACGACUUAUGAAGGUUAUUAUAUAAGUUCAAAAUAAAACUACCAUAAACUCAAAAUAAAAUUUCAAUAAAAUAAAAUUUCAAUAAACCCAAAAUAAAACUUUAAUAAACUCGAAAGAAAUCACUCCAUUUUGUCAUCAUCCGGAGCAAUAUAGCAGCUUUGGUUCAGCUGUUAACCGCAACUUCGCCGCGAAUUUGAGAAAAGACCGUUACUAUAAUCUGCUCGCUAGUCGAAUCGGGAAGCUGCUGCGAAAGUUGCCUGGUUUCGGAGAAUGUUCUGCCUCCUCUGAUCAGGCUGAUCGAAUCUGGAACAGAAAUGGGGGAAGGAAAAGGCCGUCUUUUCGCUCCAGACGCUUUCGAAGCAUCGAUCGUCGACCAUGGCGGAAUUCAGCCGCUGAUCGAGCUGUGUAAAACAGGGGACUCUUUUUCUCAUGCUGCAUCAGCUUGCACACUGAAGAACAUUUCCACCGUGCGGGAAGUUCGGCAGAGUCUCACUGAAAAAGGAGCUGUGAAGGUAAAAUUCGUGAAUCGCUUGUAAAAACUAACGAGGUCAUAAAAACCCUUACUUUUUCUUGUUCGGUUUCUAACAGGUAACCAUCGACCUUCUAGAAUGCGGGAUCCUGCUCGGAACGAAAGAAUACGCAGCGGAAUGCCUACAGAAUCUCACCGCAAGCAACAAGAGCUUGCGAAGAAUUGUGAUAUCGGAAGGCGGGAUUCGGUCCUCGUUAGCGUAUCUCGACAACACUUCUCUGCCUCAGGAAUCUCCAAUUGCAGCAUUGAGGAAUUUGGUCAACUCUGUUUCAAUGGAAACCCUGGUUUCGUCCGGGUUCUUCCCCCGAAUCGUCCACGUGCUAAAGUCGGGAUCUUUAGGAGCGCAACAGGCCGCCGCGUCAGCAAUCUGUCGAGUAUGCGUGUCGAAUUCGGAGAUGAAGAAGCUAGUGGGGGAAGCGCGGUGCAUUCCUUUACUCAUCAAACUACUGGAGGCAAAAUCGAACGGAGCGAGGGAGGCGUCCGCUCAGGCUAUUUCGAGCUUGAUGACGGUAUCACAGAACACGAAGGAGGUUAAGAAGGAUUUCGGGAGGAGCGUGCUGUGUUUGGUGCAGUUGUUGGAGGCUAGCCCGCAGUACGCGGUGGUGUGCCUUUCGGGGCUUUCGUCGACCAAGAAGUGUAGAAAGAUGAUGGUGUCGUACGGGGCAAGCGGGUACUUGAAGAAGCUGAUUGGGGCACAAACCAUGCCUUGUGUUACGGCCACGUUUCUGCAUAUUGUGGACCCUAAACGUACCCAUUCUUGUUCUCUUUCCUUUGAUCUUCUCAAGAUUGGACUCCCGUUGCAUGCAUUAUAUAAAAUCUUGAUUUUCUUUUCCUUAUUGAUUUUAUUGGGGGGUUCAGAUUUAUCUCUGCCGAUGGUGCAUUUAUUCAUUCCAAAUAAUUAAUGUACAUGGUAGACCACACUACAUUUGUCGUAUUGCAGACCUUUGUGAUACACCUUUGGAUUUAGCCCCUUAGACCUUAGUCAUCCUCUUUCCUGCAUCCAUAAUACUUUCUUCAAAUUGGACAUGCAAAACAAAAUAAAGAAAUAUUAGAGUUUGUUAUUCUAUUUUUUUGAAAAUAAUGUCCUAACAUUCAAAUUAUAUAUAUAUAUUAUUACGCAAAUGUUCUUUAUCCUUGUAUUAAAAACUCAAACACACAUCAAUUCGAAAAUAACACCUCCUCCUUCUCUUUAUCCCCACUGCGGCCUUCCCCUCCUUUGUAUCUUUCCAAGUUAACCUUCGACGUAGCAAAAACUAUAAAAAAAUUUAGGUUGGUCUCCCAAAGUGGAUGCCUGUUGAAGGUAGCCGUGGGCGGCCGUUCAAAGAAACAAGGCCCACCAUUUUUUAAAAAUAUAUUAUAUUAAUUUCGCAAUCUUAUGUUAUUAUUCAUUAUGAUAUAUUUCACAAAUCAUAUAUCGAUAAAUGAAUAACGUCAUAAGAUUAUGGUGUUUGGCUUAAAAGAGUCAACUAAUAGAAAUAACCGUUGUUUUUUAUGUGAAGUAUGAGAUUGUUCUUCAUAUGGUUUAAGUACUUGUUAUUUUCAACUCUUGAAGUACCCAUAGAUCGAUGAAGAAGAUCCAACAAUCAUUCACAUGUAAGCGUACAACUGAGUUGAAGAUCGAAAUGUCGUACCACAAUUAUCAUCAUGAAGUCAUCUUAUCGAUUAAGGAACACAUAUUAGCCAAAUAGUAGUGAACUUAAUUGGUUAAGCUCAUAAUAUAUCACACAUUGUCAUUGAUUCUUCUACAAAAUGUUGCCAUGAGCUAAUUUCAAUGUUAUUGGAAAAUAUUUGGGAUCAAAGGGGUAGGUAGGUAGGUGGGUUGUUGGAAUGAAAAGAUGGCGUAUAGGGAGAUGGCUUCUUACUUCUUAGUUCUACAUAUGUUUUGGAAAGUUGUAGAAUGUGUUUGGUUUCUCGUUUAUUUCAGAACAAAUUAGGGGAGUGGUCUAGUAGAAAACAACAGAAAGAUAGAAGGAACUCGACCCAAACUGUUUCACACCCCUCAACUGGGAAGAUACUUCGGCCAUGAAAUGAGGAUUUAAGUAGAACAAAGUUGUCUGGGGUGGUCAAUAUUUUUACAACUUGGAAACAGAGCAAUAUAUUAUUGUAAGAUUUGGCAGAAUAGAAGCCUUAGAUCAAAAAGACUUUGUAUGGAGUGAAUGAACGGUCUAAACAACAAUUAUCGAGUUGUAGAAUGUACAUACACUGAUUUAUAAAUAUGACAGCAGAGAUUUCUACAGUAUCAUAUGGGAAGAAGCUUAUAUUAUCAGUGGUCAGAAAGCGAAUCUGAAAUUUCCCAGCUCUAACUUGAUACUCCUUUUGUCUUCUAUUUACAUGUCUUUCGAAUUAGGAUUAAUUUGAAUAUAUUUUUAGGCUUAAAAAAGUUGCAGGCUAUAAGUAUAAUAGUUUGUGGUGCUGAUGUUAUCUAAGUUGGCCGCUACCGCAGCAGCAGCAGCACCAGUUUCGACGACCAGAAGAACAGAGUUCGUUGUUAAUAAAAAAAGGAUCCGAAGACCGGGGGAUUGAACCCGACGUGAAUCGAACACGCAACCUUCUGAUCUGGAGUCAGACGCGCUACCAUUGCGCCACGGAUCCGGUCGGUGUUCUCCUACUUACCUUUUGGAUUAUAAUACUUUUACAAAUCCAUGCAUUGAACCUUUUUUGUUUUCUUUAUAUAAUAGGCCUUUCAGUUUGGGCCAAAAAUGGAGUAGCAGACUUGCUCUUACAGGCCUUUUGACAUGGGCCUUGGAGGAUUACCCACCAGCACUUGGGCAGUACUCGAUCAAUGCUGCAUGUCCAAGAUCUCUUCUUGAGGAUUUUCAUAAGCAACAAUCCAUACUGGCACUGCACUGGUUUAUUGUAUUGGUUCAACCAUGUGUAAGGUACUACUCGAUACCAAUAUUCGAUGUUGUAUUGUUCUACAAUUAUAGUACCAAACCCUAAUUGAGUAAGUGGCGUUUGGGUGUGUACGAAUAUCUAGCGCGAUAGAGUUGAAUUCUUAUUUUACUAGUGGAAUUAAUAAAGAGAACAAUUUGAAGAUACAAACCAAGCAAAAAAAUCAAUGGUUCCAAAACGGUGAAGGUAGAAAAGAAAAACCGAACAACCAUAAUUCUGGUCAGGAAUCAACCGAACAAACUCAUGCAACCCUAAGAAACUGGAGAGUAACAACAUCAUUCGAAGUUUAGAAAACCUUAACGCCCACAUUAAUAAUAACCCCAAGAUGAUCACACGCCGCCCUCAGAAACCUUUGAAUUACGUGCAGUAAACUGGCAGGACAAAUCUGUAUAAAAAUACUCUAAUAAAUUGUCUGGUGAAAUUUAAACGGAUCCGUUACAGUGCGGUGACGACGACGUUUGUUCAUUGUUGGCUGGCUGGCUGAAUACGGAGGCUCCACUCCACCGCCGCAAGGCCAAGAAGGAAAUUAAAGAUGAUCCAAUCUUUCCUGUUAACGGUCACAAACCCCGUCAUUGUCACAAGAUUCAAUACCUUAAUCACCAUGAACAUGGCACUACCCACGUACAUUGUCCCCACAAUAAUGGAAAAUUAUGAACGCAACUUCUGCCUUUAGUUUCUUUUGGGCUUAUUUUGUUUUUGGAGAGUUUAAAAACAAAUAGUAAAGAAAUCAUGAUCAUGGAUCUUAUACGCUUCACAAAUUGGCGACAUGUUCCAUGUUUUGUGGUUAUUUCUAAUCCAACUCUCAUUAAUCUAUUGGUAUUAUGAAACUUAAAACGUUCUUCUCAUAGUUUUGACGUCUGUAUUGUUCUCCUAUGUUGUGAUGUUUUAGUUACUCUUUUUUCCGACGACCAUAAAGUGACAUGUAACAUAUAUUUUACGGUUCAUUUUGAAUCUAAUUUGAUUGUUUUUUUAUGAAUUUAUAUUCUCUUAUAUGCACAUUAUUGCUUGACAUGUACUUUGUGAUUUUCAUGUUUAAAACAUGGAUAAUCUUUCUAGAGAUGAUAAAGUUGAAAAUGGAAAAAAAUGUUGCUGGAUUCGAGAAUAUUUAUUUAAAAAUUUAGAGUAUUAGAGGGAGCACAUUGUAAAUUUUUUUUUUACAGGCAAAAGAAAAGAUACCCAGCAUGCAUAAACCAAAAUGAGCUAAAGAGUGUAUGAAUAAUAAUAUAAAUAAAUCAAUCACUUUCCAAGUAAGAAAAAGGAAGCAUUAUUGGAGAGGCUCAGCUGGAUCCACUUGUGUUUUUGCAGCUAAACACAAAAAGCAACCCCUGAAUGUGAAAGGCCGACCUGCAAAUGCAAAGGCAUGUGCGGAUGAUCAUGGCCACAAUGAACAAACUUAAGGAGCCUGUUAUAUAUUAUAAAUUGGGAAAUAAGCUAAAUGGAAAUAAAUUUAAACAGACGACACAAUUUAUCUUACAUGAAAAAUAAAUUUGAGAAAAUAUUAUGUACGAACGGUCGGUGAUUGGUGACGAUAAAAGCUCCACUAUAUCUGUUGAGUGUUAUUACACAUUUUCAUCCCAAAAUUUAAUUUAAAAAAAACCGUUUUUUCUUUUUUAUAUAAAAAAGAGGUUUUCUCUCACAUUUAAAGUGCACCUACCCUUUUUCACUCAUAAAAUAUUACAAGUUGUAUAGAUUUAAUGAUUUUGUGAUAUCUCAAAUGACUAAAACUGCGCAAAGAUAAUUAAAAUAGGUGAAACGAGUAGUACAAUGAAAAUAAAAAGUACAGAGUGAUCUAUACCACGAAUGCUCCUCCUAUGAGCUCGGUUGAUCAGUACCUUUGACACAGGAAGAUUUAGAUCGCUAAACUUCAACAAAAUCAAUUUGAACGACCAUCCAUGAUAUUCCGAUCACCGAGCAACAAAAUUUAAGGUAAAAUUGUCUGAGAUCAAAAUAUUUUAUUGCAUCUAUGUAUCUCGAGUGUGGUGUUUUCAAACUUACCGGACUCCGGUCAAUUGGUUCUCUGCUUCCUUGGCCACUUGCGGAACUCCAUGAAGAAUAUUCAAGCUAGGGGUGCUAACAGUAGAACAAGUGCAAGAGUGCAAAACAAACGUUUCAUUCUCAAACUCCCACCCACCUAAAUUUUGUCUUAGGUUGUUAUCCGCAACCAGUACGGAUUUGACGUGGAAUGUAACAAAUGUCUUAUUGACAGACGACAGGUUAAGAUAUAUACUAUUGGACAAAUGCCUAAUUAACGGCUAAUUGCAAUUAGCAGCACGGCUGUCGGCUGGUGUAUUCCAUGCUCUCUUUUGUCCAAAUAAUUAUUAGCCGCUAAGUAUAUUGUUGGAAAUAAUUAUUAUGUCUUGAAUGCAUAAUGAGACGAGUCGUAUGUAUCUUGAAGAUUCUCCAAUGUUGUUGUGAUCCAAGGGACAAAUAGAAGUGACAAAAGCUAGCUAGUGAUUCCUAAUGUAAUCGGGAUUAUAUUUCAGUCUUAAGUGUUAACCUAGAAAGUAAUGUUUCAUAAACAGUAAAAGUUGGACUCAAACUUGGAUUGGAGAGGGUACAGAGAGAGUCAUGACAUUAUUGAUUGGAGAUGGAUCCCACAAAUAUGAAAAAAGGAAGGGAAAGGCAAAUUUGGUUAGAAAGACUACAACUACAACUAGUUGUGGUGUGUUAGUGUGUAGUGUGGGUGGUGGUAGUAACAAAAAGAAAAGAGACAAUCCUCCACCGCCCAGCCUGGAAAAGGGGCCUUUGAAUUCACAGUAUAGUUUCCAUUCAUCUCUCUGUUGUUUAAUCGCCCCACAAAGAGAUGAAUUGAAUGGUUCAUGGGUGUGAAUCUGCAAAGAAACCCUACCCUUGUUGGGUUAAGUCAAAACACUUUUUCUAUUGUGUCUACACCUGCGUUGGAAACGUUAUGAACAGAGCAAGGAAGCAUUAUUGUGCAAGUAAAACUUAACAAAUAUAUAUGAUACAAUGUUGGGACCUCUGAAUCAAAUUGUUCCGAUCAUACAAUAAAUAAAAACACGUGUCUUCUAACAUUUUUGUUUCAGAAAUGACAAGAAAUCAUCAGCUGAACAUGGGCACAAAUGGACUGAUUGUCUGUCUGGUUUGGAGAAAUUCCUGGAUGAAAAUGUGGGGUUCAGAUCACCAUGCAUGCACCCCCCCUCUCUAUUAAACGUCACUACUGACUCUUUCAGUUACAUAACAUGUGGGUUUCCUAAAUUAGUCAUUCACCAGUUCUUACUGCUAAGUAAUAGCAGUUAAAAUGUGCGAGUACGAGGAAGAGAAUGUACCUAGUACCUGAAGAAUUGACAAUUAUCAUUGAGCUCUGAUCUGCGUCGACUGGCCAUGAAACAUCAUAUCUUUCGGAUAUUGUGGUUGAUGAAACAUCAUAUCUUUCGGAUAUUUACGCUAGCAGAACCAGAGAGAGCAACAAGAUGAAGAAGAAGACAAACAAAAGCAGCUCAGCAAAGCGGUUUCCUCUUUCUCAGAGAAGCCAACCAUGUGUAUGGAUCUUCCUUAGCGUCCGCGUCACGUCUGCGGGAAAUCUCAACUCUUGCCACCUCACCACCAUCCACGUGUACAACUAACUGUUCCACCUGGUCAAACUCUAUCUCCCAUAACCUCACCUCACUAACCCAAUCUGGCUUCUUCCGCUUUCCUUCCCAGUAUCAUUAAACCAAUUGAACGGAAAUAAAUUAUCUUAGAUAUAUAAAUAAUCUCCAUCUCCAUACCAUACCAUACCCUCCCCAAAAAUAAUUGAAAUUUCGUCAUGACCAUCACCGAGUUUUGGUGGUCCGCAUUCUGUUUCGACAUAACAGACUAAUUAUACAAUAGAGUUGAACUACACAUGUACUCUUUAUUGUCCUUUUUGAUCGAUUAUCAAAUGAAACAUAUACAUUAAAAAAGGAUGCAGACCACCAACGUUGUUCUGAAUAAUGAAAUGGUUGUUUGGAAUAGGAAUAAUCACAUAUACAUUGAGUUCAGUAGACAAGCAUGAGUAUGUGUUGUGACUUCGACUAUUAAAAAUGAUUCGAUUAAAUAACUAUAAAUAAUCGACUAAUCCUAUUAUAUUAAUAAUUGGAGGAGACAAGCUCCCUGCUAAGUAAAAAUCUAAAAGGUGCCGCUCUCUCUUGCUUUUCCUUCCUUUCUUUCUUUCUUUCUUUCUUUCUAUCUUCUUUCCCCCAUUUUUCAAUUGCUUUCAUCAUUGCUUUGGAUCAACUAUUCACACCAAUACCCAAUUCAAUACCACUAUGGUUAAUAUACAACCCGAGCCGAGAAGAGACAACCCGAGCUACAUAUGACUCGCUCUGUGAAUCGUAUUCAACCAUCCAAUGAGUCGAGCCGAGUCUUAUACAUCUCCAGCCAAACUCAUUUCAACUCAAAUUUAGUUAAUUUAGCUCUCGAGUAUGUUCACAAUAAUUUUAUUGAAUAUAAAUUUUAUCGAAUCAAACACCAAGCUAACCACGAGCGCUGUACGAGUAAAAUGCAACGUGGUUGAGAAAUAACAAGCAAACUUUCACUAGAAUACAAAGAACAAUCUCAUCCUCUUCUUCCUCCUUCUCUUCCUUUAUUUUACACCUAACAAGUAACACCUCUCCAUCCUCUGUCCACUCAUUUCCCUCUUCUUUCUCUCCCAAUUUCAUCAAACUUCAAACCUUGCUUCUCCUCCCAUGGCCACCGGAAUGGCCAUAACCAUCUUUUCCAUUCUCGCAUUCCUCCUAUCCAUCUCCUCCUCCGCCGAUGCACUGCCCAAUUCCAGGGCAUUGUACGAAAUCGCCUGCGAAAUGUGCACAACCUGCUGCGGAUCCACUCCAACCCCGUCUCUGCCACCUCCCUCUCCGCCGCCGCCGUCCCCACCUCCGCCGUCCACCACUCCUUACUGCCCACCUCCUCCUUCCCCGCCGUCCUCCGGAUCAGGUGGGUACUACAGCUCCCCGCCGCCGCCUUCUUCCAGCUCAGGAUACUACCCGCCCCCAGCCAAGGGCAGCGGUGGAGGAGGCGACGGCAUCGGAGGGACGUACAACUACCCGCCGCCGACGUACCAGAACUACCCGGGCCCUCCUCCGCCGAACCCGAUAGUGCCUUACUUCCCUUUUUACUUCCACAGUCCUCCGCCGCCUGGCUCCUCUGCCUCUAGCCUGAAGAUUGGAUCCCGAUUCGGAAUCCACCACUGGUGUAGCUCAGUCGUUGCUGCGGUCGCUAUUCUGCUCUGCUUUUCUUGAUUGCGACAUCAAGAAAAUGAAAAAAAGGAAGUUGUAGCGGAUUGGUAGAUCUGUGGGGAGUUCAGAGGGAACAGAGACUUUCGAGGAGUGGGAUCUCCGGCCGGUGGAAGUUUCCGGUUUCUUUGAUCUGGUAAUCUGUUGAACGACCAAAAAGAUGUUGUACCAUUAGAAAAAAAGGAUUCUUACUUUCUAUUUUAUUUUGUAGCUCUCUCUGCUUUUGGUUUCUGCAAAUUUGUAUGUAUGAAGAACAUCAUGAAUUCAGAUGAAUCCCAGUAAUUACUAAUUAGCCCCUAAUUUUGACAAUAAAAUGCUCUUUGUUAUGAUGAAAUGUUGUCCCCCUGCAGCUUAAUUAUUUCCAGUUUAUGCAUUUCACUAACGACGGAUUUCUGAAAUCGACGGAAUUCGUGUCGGUGGGUUUACUGAAUUGAAUUGGCAUGCAUGUUAAUUAAUAAUCUGGGGAGUCUGAUCUGGAAGAAAAAUGUUGGAUUAUCUGAUCAAAUUUUAUUAUUUUAUAUAUUUAGCAUCGGAGGACACUGCAUAGCUGUUACAGGUAGAUGAACGCCGCCUGCCGGAUCUCUCUGACAGAAUGGGAAAGUAAAACGUGUUCAGUCAAUCUUAGUCGCCGGCCGAGCGCCGGUGAUUUGUUCUUUUAUUGGGUUGCACAUGGAGUGUGAAAGUGAAAGUGCGGGUGUGUGCAAUUCCCAUUUUCUACGCGGGUGCUGUCGUCUUAGUGAUUAAUCGUUAUUAUUAAUUCAUGUGGUCAAAGAAAGUAAUCAUCGAUUAAUGGGCAUAAUCAUUUACUUCUCCACCACCCUUAACUAAUCACCCUUUACUCAAUAGGGUUGCUAAAUUAGUUUCAGAGCACGAGUCUAUGUUUAUUGGUGCGGGUCAUAUGGAGAUAUCGAAUUUUAAUUUAUACAUGCUUCAUAAAUUCAUAGAUACUUAUGUAAUGUUUAUUUACUUUUAUUUUGUCGUAUUUCUAUCUCGAAAGGUAAUUGAAUUCAUUGAAUUGGUUUGAAAAUUCAAUUAUUGAUAUGUUUUUAUUAAAUAGUUUUGAAAGAGAAAUUUUCUCAAUUGUGUUUCAUCUUAUGUAUUUAGAUAAUAUAAUUUUUAUAAAGAGUUAUGAUUUCUCCAUAUUAAACGGUUGGUUUCAUUGUCUAUCGAAUAUAAAAACCAAACUCGUUUAUCUUUACAUCCUUCCACUGUCUGUCGUCAAACAAAUUUCCAAGUGUCCUAUACCUUCACGUACCUUCUAAAUUGUGAAUACUCCACGCCAAAUUGCUGAAAAUGUAGGAUUGAGAAAGAAGAUAAAUAGAGGAAAAUAUCUAAGUUUGGGAAAAGCAAAUAGGAAUGAAAGGUGAGAUGUGAUAAGGCCAUUGAAUAAUGGUGGUGGGGGACAAAUCGAUAAUUAAUCCCAAACCCAAGUUGGUGCGCUUCCCCAACUUCUCUCUACAAUUUCCAGUCUAUUGUGUUUGGGAAUGAGACAAACUUUACUCACACAUUAGCUGGAUCUCACAUUCUACCUUGUGCCCUAUGUUCUCAUUCUUCAUAUCCUCCCUCCCCAUAAUACCCCUCAUUUUCACAAACUAUAAAUAGUUCUCCAACUAUUCAUUUCGGUGUAAUGCAUCAAAUCCUAUCAAAAUUUGAGACUUAUGUACUAGUACAAUUGUCUUUUUUUUUUUUGCCGUAGUAAACCGAAAUUCUUUAUAAAUACAAGAUAGAAAACAAUAAAUAAUAUAUUUGUGUCCGUUUAUAUAUAGAGUAUGUUGAAUUCAAAUCCACUUUCAAAUGACCGAAACAAAUCCAUUAGAGGGUACCAUUGUUAUGAGACUAAAAAAGGAAUUAAGAUGUGGGAGCUAUUGGAUUUCAGAUGCUGAACCUCAGAGACUCUGGCUGUUGGUUUUACCAAGGAGUGGAUAUGAGUCCUAAAAUCAUCAAAAUAGGCGUAGCUACACCUGCAGGCCCACUUAGAAUCAUCCGGGGUCCAACAUAGCUCUACAACCACAGGCCCAAUUUUCAUUGUGGGCUUAUACUAAUCUACUAAUCAGCUUAUGGGUUUCUAUUACUAAUCAAUGCCCUUCACUUGUCACCAAAAAAAAUCAUUCAUUAUUUAUAACAGAUUUACCAAGAUCAACCCAUUUAAAGAAUUAAAGACAACAGUUUUAUAACAUAGUUCUCACUUUUUGGGUAGAUUUAUAAUUGAUUUGCGGUUUAUUUUUUUAUUUUUGUAAAGGGCUAUCUAAAAAAUAAAAAAAUUUAAACUAUUAAAAAAAAUCCUCUACGUCCAACCACAUACUCCGACCACUAAAUAGAUUUAAUUUUUAGGUAAUUUUUUAGUUACGUCCUAAUGGAUGGGGAAGUAAAAUGUGUCGACUUCCACUUCUACCCGAGAUGACUCGACAUGUGUACAACAGUGGAUCACAAUGGUUCAAGCACUCGAUCUAUAGUUGUAUAGAAUUCAAAAUAUAAUGAUAACAAAAUUUCAUAUAUAAAAAGUUCCAAGCUUGAAAGAAAACUAGAUUAUGGUUCAAGGAAACUCCUUAUAGAUCUAUCUCUUCAUGUGCCCCAUUUCGACAGAAAGACCCGAAAACUAAAAAAAGAUGAACCUAAAUGGAAAAUGGGUCUAUGUUUAGUUAUUGGGACGUAAUGGUUCAUAGUAUUAUAUUAGAGUUUUGACUGAUAAACAAUAUUGUUUCAAAUAUCGAUAACCUUCUAUCCGUUACACAAAACUUAUGUACGAAAACUGUAAAAAUUAAUCUCAAUCUCUUAUGAGAACCUUCACGGUAGUGUUAUGGGAAUCUAGAAUGUAGCAACGUCAGCUGGUAAAAGUACUGGUAUGGCUAACUAGGUCAAGACGAUGUUAAGGGAGGCAUGUGAGGAAAAGCACACGCAUGCAUGCUUCUUUUCCCAAAAUCCUAUCCACAACCCCAAAAGAGGUCAUCACACUUUCUAGUUGAUGUUCUUUUGGCAACAACCGAGACAUUCUGUUAAGUCAUGAACAACUUUAUCAAGGGAAUGGGAACGGUGUUAACAAACCCACCCUCAUUGUUGUCUGAUUGUCUUUUAAGUGUAUGUCAACCUAUGUAGUCGCUGAUUUACCGCAGAACCGCCGUUUCUUUAUCACCGGAUUUGUCAUGAUGGUCUUUUUCUUCCCAGUAUAAUGUUGGAACAUUGGUUUUGCGUCUUGUUUGGUUGCUACGUACUUUUGUUGCGUCGGAUACUUUAGUCGUUUUUAGUGUCUCGAGUUAGUUACUUUUAACGAGUUAGUUACUUUUAAUGAGAUGUAUGUUAGGAGAGUAAAGAACAUGACAGUCAGCUUCUGCUUAUACUUAUGGUGAUUGAUUUUUACCAAAUCCUUUAAUGAAUGAGUGAGUUUUGCUUUGUCAAAAAAAUUAUUUGUUUCAAUUGUUACUUGUUUUCAAGUAAACUACAAGUAGUUGAAUGGUUGUUUGGAUAACUUAUUAAUUUUAUCGGAUUAAUUAUGAAGAUCUGGACCCCAACUCAUGUGAAUGGAGAUUUCGGUGUAAAGUAGAACAUUUGUUCAAGAGAACUGGUUCUCAUAUUUCAUAGGACUAAUUACGCAAAUUCGAUCAAACAAUGAAAGUUUGCUUAUUAAAACCAUUUAGUUUGUUUUUGUCAGAUUGAUAAAAUUUUUAUCCUACUUCUUCACAUAAGAAAUCAUACUAAAAAAAUUAAAUUGAAAAAAUCAUAAUCUGAUUCACAAAUCAUUAACAAGACUAUGGAAACACUUCUAAACCAUGUCCAAAUUCAUUUUGAUUAGAAUUAUAAUAUUAUAGGUUUAUUCAUAGAUAUUUGUGAGUAUAUUUUCUAUGUAUUAACUCAUACAUUUCAAAUUCUAAGAAUCCCUUCCGAUAUCCUUAAACUUUGAAUUCAAAAUUUCAGAUCAUUCUCUUCGAAUAUCAACCAAGUAGAUAAGAUUACAAAAGUUGAACUACGUAUCAUGAAUGUUUGAAAACCACAAAUCAUUGAUUUAGGGUUAUCAGUUGACCCGAGCGAAGUGAGUGGUUGACAACAGAGCAACGAAAAGCAGAGAUAUCUAUCUAUCUAUCUAGCAUAGCAAAUAGCAAUGGCACAAAAAGGAACCCCGACAGCCAACAACUCAGAGAGACAUCACAAUCACGACAGUUGUUUGGGGCAAUCAAAUCAUUAGAAAAACCAAACAUUACAAAAUUUAAAUAAAACCCCAUUAUCCCAUCUCAUUUUUUCAAAAAAAUCAUUGAUCAGAAGAAUUUCCCCCUUUUUAAAAUCAUUGCUCAUCAUCUUCAAUUCCAACACCACCAUCCCCAACCACCACCUUUCAAUUUCAAACCCUAGACCCAAAUUACAGUUAGCCAUUGAUCUCUCCCCCCCCCCCCCCCAAUCCCUCAAAACUUUAGGAUUACAUAUUCCCCCUUAAAACAUUACAAACACAACGAAUUCACUCACUCACUACACUUAAAAUUGGUCAGCUAAUACAAAUUCAAAGCUACUCUCUUCUUUCUGGGCUUUAUUAUUUGGCACCCAAAUCCCUAAAAUUAAUUAGAAAACAAAACAAAUUCUAGGCAUAAACGGAUCCAUAAGAUAGAGCCAUCAAGAGAACCGCCGCUUGCUCUUCCUCACCCAGCUUCCUUCUCUGCUUCUCCACCGUCGAUCUCUGCAUCAUCACUUCCCUUCCCAACGCCAUCAAUCUCUGCUUCAACCCAUCUCGCAGCUUACUGUGGUUAUUUUUGCUACCGUCGUGAACUCCGCCGCCGCUGUUAAUGUGAUUGCUCACGGAUUUCUUCGCCUUCUUGUCGUUAGAGGAUGAUUUCGUUAAACCCAAUACAUCCCUUCUCUUCUUCCUGCUUCUGAUCCCACACGCGUUGCAAAGCGACUGUUUAAAAAAUAAUUAAAAAAUUCAUGAUCAGAUCGGAGAUCGGUCGGCUGAGAUCUAAUCAGGGGUAACGGGAAGACCGGACGGCUGAUAGAUCACCUUAGGUCCAGCUGGGCCGCCUCUCCAUAGAGGAGUUUUGCUGGUUCCGCAAUCGGCGCAUGUUUUCUUCUGUGGGCUCUCUCCUCCUUCCGGCGAGGAUUUACGGCUGACUUGAAGAACCUGAAGGGUAAAAGGGUCAAAUUUUUGUUAGUAAAUCGAAUCAAAAUAUACAGAUCAAGGAUUGCAUCAGGCUGCAAAAGAGACAGUAAGGUGGGAAACUCACCUUUUCACUCCGAUCGAGCAUUUUUUGUAGCUGUUGUACUCGAGAUCUGAUCGCGACCCAGGUGAGGAAUGGUGAUGAGAUGAACUGGGUAGUGGGCGAGCUCCUUGAUCGGAUACAGAAGUGGAGGUUGGGGUAAUGAAUGUGGAAGAUGAGAGAUCUGAGAAAUUUUGGAGGGAGAUGAUCAGAGUGAAGCUGAUCCGAUUCAGAUUUGGAGUGGGAAAUGGCGGGGAAUGGAUGAAUUGGAAAUGCGAUCAAAGGAGGAAGAGAGGAAAUGACGGGAAGAAGAUGCAAAGAUAGAUUUUGGAGAAGAGAGUGAAGAGAAUCCAACCGACAAACACACUACAGCAAGGCAGCAGCCGGGAUCCGAAAAUGCAGUUUAUAAAUGGGCAAGGCAAACCCGAGCCCGCCCUUGCAUUUCAAAUGACUAUAAUGCCCUUAUGUGUCGUACUUUUUUCAUCCAUACCAUCCCAUCCCGCCAAACCAAACUAACCAUUCCCACCUAUGGACACAAUUUGAAGGAUUUCAUUAUCAUUUUAUUAUAUAUUUGGAGAAAUAUAUCUAAUAGUAGAACUAUGAUGAAAGUGAAAUUUCAAGUUUAUAGAUCUAAUUCAUAUAAAAUUUUAUAUGGAUUAUAAUUUCGUAAAUUUUACAUAGAAUUUCAUCGCUCUUGGAUCAAGAAACUUUGGCUGAUGGCAUAAGUGGAGUCACCCAUAAUUUCGCCAUUGAAUACAUCCUCCUUACAGUUUUACGAUUCCCUCUCAACUUUUGGAUCGAGUCUUUUAUCAUACUCUUUUUUUUUACUGAUCAUCCAUUUCGAUUAUCAUACACUUCUCAAACCAUUUUUCUAUCUCCAUGUAUCUUGUAGCUAGUUUUCAAACUCUUCAUACCAAACGGACUCUCAAAUGUUUAAUAUUUGGAAUCCACCACUGGAUAAGUUUUAGUUACAAUUCUUCUUAUAAACUUUUUUCGAUUCUAGAUUUAUUCCAGAGUCCGGAGUUGGGAUGAGUAAAAUGGAACAUGAGAUUCUAAUAUUUGAAAACUUGAAUGUGAGAGUCUUUCAAAAGAGAGGAAAAAAUGGCGGGGAAUGAAGGAUCGGGGGGAAAAGAAAAGGCGCCAUUUCGGGUGAUAAGUUGUGAAAGAAACAGAUGAGGAAGGGAAAGGCGUUGGUGGAGGGAAAUGUUAACUUUUUUGGCGGGAGAGAUUAAGGUGUUUUUCCGCAAAAUGAAAAAAAAGGAGGGAAAGGGGAAAUUGUAGACUAUAGGGAAGGAGGGAGUGAAUAGGUACUACACUACACUAUUCUUCUCAUAACGGCAACUGAGGAAGACUCCACAACUCUCUCUUUGUCCCCCUCUCUUUCUUACUUACUUGGUUUUAUAUUACUAUUUUUGGGUUGAAAUUUUGAAUAGAGAAUUCAAGAUGGGCGUGUGAGGAUCACAAAGUCAAGGCACAAAAGUAUCGAACAUUGUUAACAACUAAAGGGGAUUGAGCGCGGUUGUAAAUUUUUCGAAUAUUGAAUUAGAUCACAGGCUUAUCAUGAUAGAGUGUUGUUUGUUAGUGUUUUUUAUAAAAAGUGUUGUUCUUUAUUAGUUAGGUUACGUACAAUUUUGAGUAAGGGAAUCGGGUUUGGUUUGCUCGUUAGUUGGGUUAGGUACAAAUUUUACGGAUUUGUGGAAGAAUGAUGUUUCGAAUUGUAUAUGAAUUAAGGUGGUCAAUGAGGCCAGUUAUAUAUGGGUCUAUUCUAGUGGGUUGUAGAUUGGUCAUCAAAUCGAAAGGAUUAGACGGAUCACAAAAUGACAUUCAAUUUGAUUUAUAGUCAGUCACAUGUUAGGUUUGGUUGAACUGUGUUGCACAAAGUGAUCAAGUUGAGUUAGGUCAUGAUAGUUGUACAAACUAUUCACUUUCCCUAUCAUCAUUUGGUUUGUUUUAAACGAAAAGGGAUAAUUUCAUUCAUCAUCACUUGAAACAAUAAUGGAGUAAUAAGUACAGCAACAAAGACCCUAUCUCAAGGAAGGGUGUGGUUACACAUAGACUGUACGAUCGAGUAUUGUGAAUUUAGUCAUGGUUUGCGGGAUGAAAGCGGAUGGGAUCGAUAUUCUCGUGUUACUUCAACAUUAGGUGAACUUGAUACAACAAUGCUUUAAUUUCCAAUGCUACAACCGAUGCAGGUGGUGUCUUUGGUCGCGACAUUGACCGAUUGGAGAGUUUUCGUUGAUGAACAAGUUAUAAGGCUCAGAUUUAUUGAUCAGUGAAAAUGGAUUCUGCUUUUUAAAACAACUUAUGCUCAGAUUUGCAGGCUGUAACUAUUAUAUCGGGAAUCAAUAUGAUCGGGACUUUUAAUCAAAAUUCCAAGCCUCACAGUCAAUUGAUUAUAAUUUCUACAUUAAAACUUUAAUUUCGUAAAAUUUUCAUGACAUUGCAUCGCUUUUAAGUCGGCAAACGUGGAUUAAUUGAGGCUCUUAAAUGACAAUUAUAUGAUAAUCUAGUCUUUGUGGUGCUUAAAUGCAUGCAACUGUGGCAGCAGAUUAUCCAAGUUGCUUUGCUACAACCACUUACUUGCCAAUAUCGAUUCUGAUAUAGUCUAAUUGAGUCAACAAUAAUCAUAAUAAAAUUGAUAUUCAAACUAACAACCACAUAUUUUGUAUUAAUCUGAUUUUAGUUUUAAAUUUAUUCCGUGAUAUGACAUGGCUUUAUAAAAAAUAAUCAUAGCUUUUAUCAUUAUAUCGAAAAAAUUGAAUAGAUGAAUCUAGCAAUAUAUAAGAUACGAUUUUCUUCCAUUAUGUAAUAUGAUGAGUUGUAUGUGCUAUAUAGGUAUUUAGUCCUUAGCGUAGCGGGCGAAUAUCUAUAACUUUUAUCUCAUCAUCUCCCCGUGAAUGUCCUCUCUCUUGAGAGGACUCCAAAAGCAAGAAAAUACGGACAAUAUCAUCGCUACAAUGUAUGAACAGACGCUUAAUUACUAGCAUAACUACGUUAUAUACAAUACAAAACUCGAGCCAAUCUCCAAGAUAACGUAGGAUUUAGGAAACGAGUCACUCACCUUGAAAAACAUUCUAGACGAUGGAAUCAAUAUAAUCCAUUCAUUUGAUUUGUUCUCCUAUAUCCUCUAGAAAAUACGUGACAUGGAAAAGGAAAGUGAUAGGUCCAGCCAGAUACCCCCAUCUCCCUAUUUUGGUUCUUGUGUCUCUGUAUACAUACACACCAGAGGACCACAUGUAUUUUAUUUCCAAGUUCACUCAUGACUUGCCCAUUUUGAAAUACUGAAUUUGAACUGGCGGGUGAAUGGAGCAGAGAGACAGCAGAUGAAGGAAAAUUAUUUGACAAGUGGGGGGAAAGCUUUUCAGUCACUGGGCAUCGGGCAAACCCCUCCGCUCUUAAAUGAUCUCCACUAAUAAUCACAACAUCAUUAAUGGCGUUUUAUGGCUCCCUUUUUGCCUUUACUGCCACUUCCAGUUAGUAGUAGUAAUCACGACGUUUGGAUGAAUUCCAAUACAAGAUAAAAAGAAUCGAACAUUGCCGCAACUUCCAUUCGUAAGGUGUAUUGGAUUCUAAUACGUUACCACUACACAACUCUAUCAUCAAAUUAUCUGCCUUUCAGUUUUUAGAAGUUCCCAACAGCAAUGUCAAUAAACCCGAUAUCAACAUGUACAAUCCGCUAAUGCAAUAAUACGGUAUCACGAACCAUGUGUGCUAUUUGUGAUCGUAUUCGGCCGGUACUUUAACCUACAACUAUAAGGGAUGUGUGCUCCAAUUGACGUGUGAUCCAAUGAAAUCCGAAGUCGAUUCUUCUAAGUAUUACAUAGAUGCGAAUAGCAAGGUCAUUUAGAGGUGGGUACAAAAGGUUUAUGUGAAGCUGUCAAUCCAUUAAGACUGUUUCAUACCUAUAAUUAAAAAAACAAUUAAAACACAAGCUGUAAGUAGCGAGGUAGGGAAGCUGGCACAUGACAUCUCUGAUUCGAGUUUUCAAGUCAAAAUAAUUUCGCAGAUCUUGUCCUAUGUUCUUCCUAUUAUUCUGCUAGAUUCCAUGCGCCCCCCUGCUUGGUUUGACUGCCGCACUUCAUUCAUUGACUUAACAAAAACCGUUUUCCUCGUGUGUGGUUUUAGUUAGUUAGUGUCCAAGAUCAAGCAUGUUUGUGGCUAAAAAGUAACGAAUUCGAAUCCAAUCGGACGAAACCUUUGUACCCUUGGUAAGGUGGAAGAAAUCUAAGUGUUGAAGACAUUAAAAAAAAAUACAGCCAGUUCCAUUUCUCCCAUAAAAUAACUGACUGGCUGACCAUCACAAUGCCACUAGAAUGAAAUACUCUCUGUAUGCGAGUUUUUAAGUUUUUUCAAGACACGGACGAACUUCAAACAGAAACUUCAUACAACGCAACCAGUUGUCGGAACUCUCUGUUUCGUUCUACGGGGUUUGACACCGAAGGAUCCUUCGCUUAUAUCUGGGGCGACACUUCUAGUGACUUGUGGAAACUUUUUACUCUAAAAGACCCGACCGAGAGAGGCACCUCCACGACGACCGACCAUAUGAGGACACUAGACCGACCAGACUCCGAAAAAAUUAAGGACUCUUCAACCUCACAUUUCUUAACCACCAUCUGAAUUUUUUCCAUCACACCCCUGCAAGUUUGUUGUAAAAUUAGACCGAUUUAACCGAGAUUCAUAGAUCAAUCAUUUGCAUGUGCAUUAAAGUUGGUAGAAACGUACCUUCAACCGAAGUUGAAGCCACCGGAAGGAACAGGGUGGUCAUUCCCACCAAACUAGAAACCUUGUUGCUGGUUACCGUCACCGGGAGGUAAUGUCUCGUCUUCUUCCUCAAGCCAAUACGUCUCCAAAAUCUUGACUGCCUUCUCGUAAAUCUCAUUGUUAUCAUGGCUCUGCAGAUUCUCUAUCUUCUCAAGUCCUUCAGCAUCAUCGAUCAUCUGGGCAAACACAUUGACUUCACUGUUUCCUGCGUUCUUCUCUGCUUCUCCAACCUUCAAGAUAUUCUCUAGCCCUUCAAGGCAUACUGUGACGAUUCUUGGAUCGGGGCAGACAAGGAGAUCACACAACGGUUUUAUGCAUCCGUGGCUCACCAGAUACCUAUCAAGCCGAAGAAUUGAAUCCAUGCAGGUUGAAUGUUAUAAUCAAGUGAGUGAAACAUCAACGUGAACAAACUUAUAUUAUAUGCAGUACAUACUUGAUUUGUUCCUGGCUACCACCAGAAGUAGCAUUAGAGAGAGCCCAAGCAGCUUCUUUCUUGAUAUCAAACUCAGCAUUUUGAAGUAAGUUAACUAGAGGUCCAAUGAGACCUGCCUCAAUGACAGCCUGUUUCACGAUAAUCCAAACUACAGUCGGUAAUCUAUUCCGAACAAACAAUGAGAAGAAAAAUACUUUUAGGGUAAUUAUGCAUUCUCAGCAACAAAUAUUUACCUGAAUCUGUUCCUUGUUUCCUGCUGUAAUGUUUGAGAUGGUCCAGCAAGCUUCUUUCUUAAUGCUCUUCUUAAAGUUUUGGUUCAAUAGGUUGAGAAGGCAAGGAAGUGCAUUAUGGCCAAUUAUACACUGUAAAUGAGAAAAGUGUACAUGUCAUUUUUCAGGAAACAUAUAGAAUGACAAAUAGGAUACUGAAUACAUGAAGAACGCAAAUGCUAUUUCGAUACAAUAAGAGAGACAAAGGUUUAUCCACUAGCAGUAACUUUUAGAUAAACGGAGCAAGUUUUCAUUAUCAUGCAACAAUAUUGCAUUUUAUUAUCCAUCGCAAGUUGCCCGCUAAUAGACAGCCAACACUGCAGGUGUGCACUUUUGAUAGAAAAUUAUGAUUGACAGAAACUAAGUAACCAUAGGAAGUGUUCCAUUGAGCAGCUACACAAUCAUAAAAAAACAUCUUCAAUCGUGCCCAAUUAAAUACCUGAGUUUGCGAAUCAUCCCCUGUUACAAUGUUUCCAAUAGUACGAAGGGCAGGCACAAGCACUGAUGGAGAUGGAUGGCUACAAGGUUAAAGUAAACCAAACUAUAAGUUGAUAUCAGACAGAUGUAAAAAGUUAGACAAGUACUUGAUAAUUACAAACUUACAGGAGAAGUUGAACAAGUUUACUGCAGACACCAGCGUCAAUCACAGCUUGGAUUUUAUCAUUUGUGCCAUCAGAAAGAUAGGAUAGCGCCCAGCAUGCAUCCGUCAGGACUUCCUCAUCAGAUGAGCACACAAGAUGUGCAAGUGCAGGAAGUGCUGGCCUCACCUGCCAGACAAAAAUGAUGAAUAAAGGAACUUCCAAGACAUUCUAACAAAACCUAGGCCUAGGCGCUGCCUUGGGAGAAAAAGGCUAACCUGGUCAAAAGGAGGUUGAGGCUUGCCCCUACAGAAGUUUGAUAAUGUCCAAGUGGCAUUCCUCAACAUUGAAAGCUUAGCAUGUUCAUUCAAUUGCGCCAGAAGCGGAAUCAGUGCUCCACGACUCAGAACAAGGUCACGGCAUUUUGGGGAAUCACCAGCAACAUUACCCAAAGCCCACACGGCCUAUAGUUCCACAAACGAAAAUCUUUUAAGUUCUGAUUAUUAAUUAAACUUAGCAAUCAUCAGGAACUAAAACAAGAAGGGUGGAAAGAAUUAUAUACCUGCUCUCGUACAUCGUCACUGGAAGACCCUAGAAGCUUAACAAAUAUUGGAACAGCAUCAUGAUCAAUCACAACUUUGGUAUUCUCAGAGGUACCAGACGCAAUAUUGGUGAGAGCCCAAGCAGCUUCGAACUAUGACACAAGUUAAUUAUUACCAAAUGAACAAUCAGUACCUAGAUAAAACGCAGUGUUAAUUAUAUAAUUAAUUCAGCUACAUACCUGAAGCUGAGGGAAAUCCUCCCUGACGAGAAACUCCACAAAGCGAGGAACGACACCAGACUGAAUAACCUCCUCGAUUGGAGGACUUCUUUCUGGAAUCAUCAAUUUCAAAUAUCAGACAUCAGGAGCAAUAGAAAAAUCAGAAGUUGUCGAAAAAUGAAAUUGAAAAAACUACGUCAAGAUUACCAAUUGAGAGAAGCUUUCGGAAUUGAGUUGUGGCUUCAAGCUGGAGAUUACCAUCAUCAGACCAAAUGCUAGAAACCAGAGCAGGCAAGCUUUCCAACUGCAGAUAUCGCAAUAAAAUUGCAUGUCAGAAACAAACUAUACUAGCAACGUCAUGAUCUCUACUAACCCUAACCCUAAGUCCAAGAACACUAAAAAGAACCGCGGAUCGCAGAGCAUACUCUCCUAGAGAACACAAACACAAAUCAAAGUACACACACGCAGCAACACCAUACCUUUUUCUCCAUAGCACCAGGGAGAGCUGAUGCCGAGAGCUGAUGCGCUUGAAGUCCUUCCCGGCGCUUCUUCAUCAAGUUCUCCUCGCGCUUGUUCUUCCGGAUCUCCACCAUAUUAUCCUCUCUCCUCCGCCGACCUUCAUCAGCGUCGACGGCGACCUUGUACCUGUUCCGACGAAUGUCGGUCCUGGCGUUUGGCCUCAGAGACAUAGUUACUUGAAGAGUUCUAGACACUCAACGAGACAGCCUAGAGCGGAACGAGAGAAAAAUCGAAGAAACGAUCAAGUCGGGGAGCGUUCAGAAACCGUAGAAGCAGGAAAAAAAGCCUUGAAGGUCGAUUGAUUAAAGCUUGAGAGCGACGGAAGAGAAGCGAGUCCGCCGCAGACUGAAACUAGAGACGGGGGAGAGAAUAGGAGCGAGAGAGCGGCUUUUUAUUUCAGCUGAUUUCAAAAAUACAAAUUCGAAUUUAUCCAAAAAGAAACAUUAUUGAAUAAUUGUAUACCUAAUUUGUAUUAAAUUAACAGAUUUAUUUUUUUUGUGUUUAAAUAUUAUGGAGUUCGAUCUGGCAAUUAUUACGUGCCAUUAGAUUAUUACGUGGCAUUAAUAAUUUACGAACGAAGAGCUUUUAGAAGUUAGAAUAAUUAGGGUUUUUGUUUACGGUUAACAGCUGGUACCAGGGAGGAUUUGGAUUUGGUUCUAGGGUUGGGUUUUGUGUGUGGUAUUAUUGGAUUGGGCCCAUUAAGUUUAAAUUGGCUUCUUCCUGGACUUUUGACCCAAUCUUCAGUCGGUCGAAGUAUAUUCCAAGAGGAUUAGGAUCCGACCGACCGUUUCCUUUUCCUGUAUGCCACAUAAAAAAAUUUCAUAUUUUAAUAAUAAUGAUGAAAUAAACUCACUUGACAGUUAAAGUUGUUUAACAUUUUUUCUCAUUCAAAUAGCUUCAUAAAAAGAGAUCAAGAUAGAAAACAGUAAAAUUUAAAUAUAUUAUUAUAUUUUAAAAUAAAAUUUUAUAAUUUCAGAGAGUAGCAACCUAAGUAAUAAUGCUUGAACUUCAUAUUGCUCAUUUUUUUUAUUAGGAGAAUGAGUACUGAUAAUACCUCUGAUAGAUAUUCAAAAUCGUAAAUAAUAAAAAAAGGCUCCAUUAUCAAGAGGCGAGCAAUAUAAAGUUUAAACAUUAUCGCUUAGGUUGCUAUUUUCAGAAGUUGUAGGAUCUCAUUCUAAAACACAAUGAAGCACUAAAUAUUGAGAGACACGAACAUCAAACAAAAAGACACACUGAAACCAAGCAUAAAGCAUUGAGCCUUCUUUCAAAAUAUUUAAAAAAUUGAUUGAUCUCAACACUAUUUUCGAGUUGCGAAUCCAAAACAAUUAAGUACUGGCUGAAUUAUAUAGCAUUUAAAUUGUGAAAAUUAUUCAUUUAUCUCUAAAUAUAAAGCACUGAUCCUUCUUUAUAAUAUUAAAAAGAUAAUUGAUCUUACCACCAUUUUCAAGUGACAAAUCCAAAACAGUUGAAUAUAUUGGGACAAAUUGUAUAACAAUUGAAUUGUAAAAAAAUAUUCAUUCAUCUCUAAAUAUACAGAAAAAAUAUAUAAUAUCACAAUAAACUCGAAGAUAAACUGAACCACAAUCUCAAAAAGACUUACCUAGAUCCGCCAAUGUUGCAUAGCACUCUCAUAAUGUAUCAUUUUGUGGGUUUAGACUAUCAAGUCAGUAUCGAUGGGUCACUAAUCCAUCAAUCAUCGUUUGCACACAAAUACGACAGUUUACAUGUAACUUGUCACACGUCUACAAAGGAAUCGUUAUUAAGUUCAAAAAGGGGAAAAUAAGGUGCCUUUCACCAAAAGGGAAAAAAAUGAUUGGAUUUACAGAUUAUAUGCAUUCUCCGUAUGAUAACGUAUGUACUUCCUCCUCCAGUAGUAGUGACCCAUUGUCAACCUUUAAGCUUUUGGCUCAAUAGGGCUGAUAAAUUUAUUCCCUCAUCUCCUUAAAGACCUCAUUUACAAGAACCCCAUUUGCUUGAUCAAACCAGGCGGCAAAGCGAUCGAAAGACGAUCAGCCUGGCUCUCCCAACGAACAGGGUCUUCCCUCUCCGCCGCCACGACGAUGUGAUCACGCCGCGGUGUUCUCGGCGGAGAAGCGUGGAGGACAGACACUUCAAGUAUCUGCCGCCGCACGUUUUCUUGAUCUUGUGAUAUUCUCUGCGCCCGAAAUGCAGUUAGGUAUAACCCGCCGGCAAGCAAUACGGUGAGGAGGGAAAACACUCCGGCAGCAGCGAAUACUCCUUCUCUGAUCACCAGGCAACUCUGCUUUGGUGUUCCCCAACUCUUCAGGUGUCCCGAUUCCACGCUCAGUCCUAUCAACAGCAGGAUUUCCGCCACCGCAAAGCUCACCCUGCAAAUUGAAUCAAAGGAUUAUAUUGAAUUAUAGUACCAAAUCAAAGGAACGGUAACGGUAAAGGUUUCGAAUUGCGGUACCAAGUAGUGAGGAAAAAGGCUCCAGCUCGCCAAGUGACAUCCUUGGAAGGGGCAUAGUUAGGGUCCCAAGCGAUGAGAACAGCAGGGGGAGCUUUGCUAACUGCGAUCAAUAGAUAAGUAUGUUCAGUCACCAUAGCCACAGCUAAUCCGAUAAAUGCGAUUGCUCCACACAGCAAUGGAGUUUCUCCACUGCCACUGUACACGCAUUGACGAUUCUCCCCCCACGUAGCCUGCCAAAAAAACACCCACCACCCAAAGAUUGAUUAUUUAUGGUGGUGGUGACCACCACCUCUUCUAAUUUGUCCCAAGUGAAUUUUUUUUCUUACCUGUGAACGAGAGGCUUCAGCUAUGAGGCAGAGAGAGAAGCAGAAGAUACCAGAGAGAAUUGUAAGGAGCAUAACUGAGACUGCUGUUGUGCUGCCCAAAUCAGAGUUUCCAGGACCUGGUGCGAGAUCGUCAUGGGUGACUGCUCUUCCUUGUGCCAUGGUUGGAGUUUGAGAGAACAGAGAACAACCAAUUUUUUAAUCUAAAGCUCCAUAAGAAGAAGAUGAAUAAGACGAAUUUUGAAGAUAGAUGCAAAACCCAUUGAUGGGGAGAAGGGAUCGGGCGGCUGGAGGGGGGAUACUGUAGAAUUACUUGGACGAAAGGUUUGCUUCAGAGUUUCAAAAGAUUCCUUUCUCUCUCAGGAGGAGCAGGGAACAGCCGACUGUAGGAGCAAAGUAUUUCAAACUAGACUAGAAGUUAUGUGGUUGCCGAUUAAUGAAGAAGAAAGAAGAUGACAUUAAUAGCAUAAGGAACUAGGCACCUGGUACUGCCUGACACGUGUGACUUACCUACUUUUUAGUCAUCUCGCUUCGUACUUUGGCUUAAAGGUUCGUUUUUAUCAGUUAUUCUCUAAUUAUCUCUGCUAAAGAACACUUUGCUUUCUUUCGGUACAUAAAUCCUAGCCUAAAUUUUACUUGUUACCUAUAAUAGGCCAACAUCUGAUUUGAAGAAUAGAUGCUUAGAUGCUUGAUCCUCAAUUGUUUUCUAUUAUUCUUUGGUGAUUUUUAGAUGCUUGAUUCUCAAAAAUCUUAAUCACUAAUCUAAGGCUGAGAAACCACUCCCAAUUUUGAUUCAGGUUGGUUCUUGACUGAGCGAAAUCAAAUUCGUUAUCAGACACUGACUGUUCUUUUUGUACUGCUAUAACAAUGAACCAAAGUAGCACCAGCAGUGGGCGGCUAUCUAAUUGGCCACUAUGUUGGACGGCUAUUAUAUUCUAUUGACGCAGUGACGGAUAGAAUAGAAUGUGGUUCUGAUGCUAUCCUAUAGUAGAAAAUUUUAAGCAUUUCUAAAUCUCCCUGCACUCUGACGUAUGUGUAUACAAUAAUCUUCAAGUUAAUGAACAGUUAUGAAACUCAAAAACGAAAAGAGGGUAACACAGAUAUUGUAGUAUCUUCAGAAGUAUAAAAUCUAGGUGCAUAGACAUAUCUGAUAAAGGGUUGACCUAUGCAUGUAUGCUUGUAAACUGUAAGCAUACUUGUCUUUUCUACUUUGUGCCAUGUGCAAAAUCUAUAAAACCACGAUUGUGCCUACUCAUAUUCCACCAAUGAAUUUAUGUUUCUGUCUUUCAUACAUGGAGUCCUUCAUUGCUAUGCGAAAAUCGUAUAAAUCCACGAAAGAAAAAGGUUUUAAUCGGCAUCUGAGAACCCCCUUAAGCCACCUAAGAAUGAUAUAUCCUUUGCUGCAUCUUUUGAUUGCUUAACACACAAGAUAAGGAUACUUAUUCCAUCAGUAAGAAUUUGCACAAGUUUGAUUCUUUUAUGCACCCGGAUCAGUAAAGCUUUCUAUCUAAAACCGACCUCAACAUAUCCCUUCGGUACCUAUCGUGUCGUUUUCAGAACAAACCAUUUUCAUUAUUCUAUAGAUCAUAGGAGAGUGACGAGUACCUUCUUCAUCGCUGAAUCCUGAUAAACUCUGUCCAGCAUUUCAGGGCUGCAGCGGAUAUGUCUUCGGACAAGGGCAAUGUUGAGGAGCUGGAGGAGCCCUGCACCAGCAACAAACACGCAAGUCUUGCUGACAGAAAACCUAAUGCACAAGGCACAGGGAAUUCUGGUUUAGAGAGAGCGCUUGCACAUAGAGCACUCUUUUGGUCACACAAUGGCAGGGUGAAGGGGAGAAAAUCUGUGAACAACAUUGCCAGAAUGUUGCCAAGCAGGCUAAGCAAGGUAUCCUUGGCAGAUGAUCCAGCUGACUAAUAAGUUAAACUGGCAAACAUAUGGAAAUUUAAACUUAUAUGUCACUGCUAUAUAUAGAGAGAGGAAUAUGUAAUGUGAUGUAUCUAUAUGAAAACAUUCACUGCCUGUAAGAUCUUAAACAUGUGGUCUUACUGUAGAAUGUAGAUCAGUAGAUGAGAUGCUAAGCUAUCUUAUUCUAACGGCCAAUAUAUUACACAAUCAGCUCCAAUUAUACGGCAAAGGGAACAAUAACAUCAGAAGGGUAAUUUAGAGAUUUUGAAGACAAUCACACAAGGAGAAGUCUAUGAAAUUUGAUAUGAUAAUGAGAUGCGAAACUUACUGCAGCUACAGCUCCUUUGCUCUAGCAAGGAGAAUAAAUCACUUUGCAUACCCACAUUUAUCUACAAUGUCUCUAAUCCGUCAAACUUCAAAGAUGUCGAUUGUGUAAGAACAUCAGGAUCUGUACAGCCUGAUGUUCUUGCUCCAUAACCCGCAUCUCUGGCUUGGUUCCAGCUCAGUAAUUACCAAUUAGCAGCAGGCAAGAUUGACAGCUAAAGAAGCGCAGAGAUUUACAGUUCCGCUGACUGUCAUCCGACGAUAAACCGCCGCGGUGACAUCUGGUGUGAAAUCCCUUCCGGUGCCCAGGCAAAUCAUCUCUUUAUCCAAACGCCAAAGUCCACGGGCGAGGCCGAUUUGACCUCUUCUAUGGGCUCCGUUGAGGUUUGUUAAAAUGGGCUUUCCAAGUAAAGGCUGAAUGGUUUGGCCCAUUUGACUUGUCAUUUCUUCUUUAAAUUCUUUUUCUUCUUUUACUUUUGGAUGAAUGAAGAAAAGCAAAAUGUUUUAUCUCUUCAGAUGAGUAGUAAACUUUAUCAUAAAAAAUAAAAGCAUAAUGAGCCACACAAAAAUGGUAGUAUAAUAUUUUUUGGAAAUUAUACAAUAUUUAAUAAAAAAUGGUAUUAUAAUUAUUAUCCCAGUUAUUAUAUAUAAUAUAAUUAAUUUUUUUUUGCUUUGUGCGUUUUAAUUUUACAAUACACUAUGUUGUAGUAAUAACUAAUCAAACUAUAUUUAGUAUAAAAAAUGAAAGUUUUCUCACUUGAUCAUUUGUACUUCACUUUAUCAAACAUGACAAAGUUCUUAAAUUAUCUUUUAAAUCUGUCACUCAUAUAUGAUCUUACAAUUGGAUAGAAAAUAAGAUUUCUUACCGGUAUAUAUUAUUUUGAUGUUCAACCACCAUAAAUAAAUCUGAUAAUAAACCAUUCUAACACCAAUAAUAACUUACACAAAUUUUCACCCCAAAAAAAUUGAAAGAACAUUCCCUUUAUUUUUAGCCCCUCCAAAUCAGAAACCCAUACAUUAAAAGCAAAUUUCAAAAUCAACGUAAAAACCUCAGGCUAAAAGGGUUAGAAAUUCCCCUCUAAAAUUCUUUCUUUCAUUUCCCUUCUUCUUCCCGCCCUCAAAUUCAAUAAAAAAAGAUGAAGGCGGCGAAAGAAACCAUGAGGGAGAUGGAAGAGUUCAGGAAGGCCAACGAUCAAAUGUACAACAACGUUGGCGAAUGGAAGUACGAGCCCAGCUCGGCGCCCGGCGACAAGCAUGUUUUCUCCCGAAACGUGGCCGUACAAGCUCCGGCGACGAGGUCCAAUAAGAUGAUAGUGGUGGCGUCCACGAUGCCUCCGUCGACAGUGGCCGUGACGGCUCCGAGGAUGGCCAAUAGCCACAAGGCGAGGGCCCAGAGGAGCGAGGGCGAAUCGAAGAGGCAGAGGAGGGUGGUGAAAUACAAAUCGUAUGCCGUUGAAAGUAGGAUGAGGGCUUCCGUUAACAGCGGCCUACGAUGGUUCAAGAACCUUGUAUGAUUAUAAUUACGGCGAUGAGCUAAUCCUUAUAUUUCAUAUUAAACUAUUAUGGAUAUACCGCUCAUGAUAGAUAUAUAUACAUAUGGUUUUUACCCAUAAAGGGUUUGUGUAAUAUUUGCUAGACGAAAACGGCUAGCUAGGAGUUAAAUAGUCGGCAAACUAAUUCAUGUAAAUAUUUACUUCGAAUGUUGGAUGUUAAUAUGUGUAUAUAUUGAAUAUUUCGAAAUAAAGAAUUGGAAAAUUAUGUUCCUUAUUCUGACUUGUGUUGGGUGUUCGGGUAUCCAUUAUAUUCCGAUUGUGGUUGGUUUUUACUUCAUAUCCUCUUCCAAACUUACAACCCUAAAAAUGAGCAUGUGCAUUGAAAUUGAAAACAGAGAUGUUUGGCGGUAAGAACAUAAAUAUCCCAAUUACAUCAAACAAGUUUCUGUGAAUGAAAAUUAUAGUUGAGAUCUAACUAGACAAUCGUUGAAGUUAGUUGAGAUGCAAAUAAAACUUAUUUGGUGUCAUUGAAAUAUGUUUUCACACUGAGAAUAAAAAUAUAAUUUGGCAUACAUACCUUAAAAAAAAGAUGUAUGUAAUACAAAUACGACAUAGUUUUUACACUUUUUUUCUCCGAUCAUUCAAAUGCGUCUUGACACAUUUUACAAGUCGAGAGAUAAUAUAUACAUUGCCGCAAUUGGUCAUAUACUAAAUAUAAAUAGACAUUAAGUUUGAUAGGAUAUUGCGUAUCAACUUAAUCAGGCGAUGUAGCUAAAAUGAUACAAAAUCGUAACUAUAUAUGGUGACAAGCGCAUAUGCAGUAAUCUAAAAGCCGUACCAUAUAUCAAAUCGGCAGAGCUAACUACAUAAAAUAUUACAAUGUUCAAACCAAUUAUUGUUAAAAUAUAAACUCGUAAGUAUAUAUGUAUGCUAUGAAAAAUAACCACUUGUUAACCGAUGUACGAGUGUGUCAAUCGAUAUUAAACCAUAUUUCAAUCAAUAUGUACAAUGGCCAUACUGAAAGUUGACAUGACAUGACAUUAGCAAUGUACUAUAAUAAGGGCAAUGUAAACCUUGACUAUGGACCAAAGGCAUUCAAUAAGAUUAACUCAUUAAUGUUGAUAUACGUACACAAGCAAGCUAGCUUUAUAUUUAGUUCAGAGGACCCAAAUUAAAGGCACACUAGCUAGUUGAAGACAUGGGACCUCGAGGUAGCAAACAUCUCUGUUUUUCUGCUGCCUACAGCCAAACAUAACUUCCUUAGAUCGAGUAGCAAAGAUAAAAGAAACAAGACAUUCACCAUCAUUUCUCUCUUCUUUAUGGCAAAGUUUUCUUAUAGUCAAUGUAAAGUUAUUUUUUGAGUUAUAUAUGUUCAUGUUUUAAAAGUAUUAAAUUCAAAUUCAAUAUAAUUUUUAUUUUCUUUUUUAUUUUAUACUGAUCGUAAAACCUAUUCAAAAUAAAAGUAAUGAAGUGUAGAUUCGGCCUAAAAAGUUCAAUCAAUUUUUAAAAGUGCAAAGGACAAAAUAAAACGCAAGUAGUGAUCACAAACGCCAUUAACACGAGUAGGUAUUAGCAUCAUUGUAAUGCUCGUAAGUCGUAUCGUACCGCCUUGAUCUUUAUAAAUAAUUGUUUAAACGAAAUUUAAGAUUGGACCGGACCAUCCGGUUUUAGGAACAAAAAAAAACAAAAUCUCCAUCUGUGUGGGCCGGGUCCGGACUUUACGACACUUGAUGGGGAAGAUGGAUCCAAUUCAGGAGGGGUAAAACGGUAAUCUGCGACCACGGACGGAUCUGGAUAUCUGGGAUAGCCUUUUUAAGUUGCAAUUUGUCGUCUCGUCUCGUUAACCGGGUUCUGGAUUCCGGGGCCCGCCCGUCCGUUUCCUUUUAAUUUGGUUUUCCUGGAUUUGGACUUUUCGAGACAUCCGCUCCUCAAAGUCUUUUUUUUUUUUUGCUUACAGCACCUUCUAAUUUUCCUUUUUUCCACACAACCAACGGUCACUAUUCGAUCUACGACUCAGAAGCCGCCACCUGGAUCCUCUCUUCCGUUCGCCGCAUGUGACUUUAUCACUUAUCGCACACAGCCGGAGAGAGAAAUAAAAUUAAUUAAGAAAAAAACCACUACGGUCGGGAAUUCGAAAUUUGUUCGUGUCUGGCAAAGAGACGUUAUAGCUUUUUGAACUUCACUCCACUCCACUCCACCGGAUUAAAGAACAAACCAUAAUACCUUAUUUUUAAACAUUUAUAUCCGUUCAACAAUCAAAGAUUAUAUUACAUUAAAAUGAAUGAUAUCCUCAAAGCUUAAAUAGUAGUAAUUGGGAUGAAUAUUGUUAAAAUAAUAAGUAUAUUAAGUUUUUUAUUACCGUUGAAAUUUUAUGGUUAUGCGACAAAACAAAUUUAAUUAUAUGUUAGUCGGGUAUAGCUAAUUCGAUUGAAACACUUUUAAUUUGUUUGAAACACUUUUAGGCCUCGUUUGGUACACGAUAAUAUUUGAGAUAUCGCGAUAUUAGAUGAGAUUGAUAUUCGGUGAAAAUAAGUAUGAAAUUAGCUGAUCAACCAACCAUGUUCCAUGCUUGUUUUAUAUUAGUUAAGAUAUUAAUAGUCUUCUACACUGUUGUGUGACGGUCUAUUAAUUCGAGCUAUCUCGUUCGUAGAAGAAUACCCUUCUAAAUUGGAGGAUGUUGUUUAUAUGAUCGUCAUUGAUAAGAUUAUGAGCCAUAUUAAAACACAAUAUGUAAUUCAAAAUGUCACUAGUUUUAAUCAAUAUUGUAUAAUAAUUUUAAAUAAGUAUGUACUUUCCAAUUUUCAUUGAAUGUGAUGAUAAAAUUAGAAAUAAUGUUUGUAAAAAAAAAAAGAAAAAAGGAAAAGAAGAGUGGGGAGAAGGAGGAGGGUAUUCAUGGCGUUUGGGUCCAUUUAAUGCAUUUGAACUAUUUGGACAGUUGGGAAAGAAAGACAGGACCUUUCUUCUUCUUCUUCUUUCUUGUUCUUUCAUAAAACCUCCGGAACGUCUCUUUAAAUGCUGCUUGGGUCUCAGAGGCCACAGUAAGAAAGACAAAAGCAUUGAUUCAAAACCCUUCAGCAGCAUUUACAGAAACAGAGUUCUUGAGAAGAGGAGACGACGACAGAUCAAGUGAACUUAGCUUGCUGGAGAAAGGAAGGUUUUCUCGAGGUCGAUCUGACCUUAUUCUAAUGUGGCAAAUCUGGGAAUCAAUGUGGGUAUUCCAAUCUUGAUCUUGCUCUCACCACUUUAUUUAUGGCCUCUGUUCAUCCCGAAAUUGAAUGUUUCUCAUAAAAGUAGCUGCUUUCAGCUUUGAUUGUCUGUCUCCUGCUUUCAUUUCGGUUGGGUGUCUAGAAAGUAGAAACAGCUGUGGAAUCUUUGAGAAUUAUACUGAGCUGUAGGUCUGCAGAGAAAUCAAGAAAUGUUUAGGGUUUUCAACUGUUAAUAUGGUUGUGCUACAUUAGGAUUGAGAUAAAAGGAUAACAAUGUAGCUUGGAAAAUUGCAGGGUUGAGGGAUUCAGUCAUCUUCUUGAGUAAGGGGAAANNNNNNNNNNNNNNNNNNNNNNNNNNNNNNNNNNNNNNNNNNNNNNNNNNNNNNNNNNNNNNNNNNNNNNNNNNNNNNNNNNNNNNNNNNNNNNNNNNNNNNNNNNNNNNNNNNNNNNNNNNNNNNNNNNNNNNNNNNNNNNNNNNNNNNNNNNNNNNNNNNNNNNNNNNNNNNNNNNNNNNNNNNNNNNNNNNNNNNNNNNNNNNNNNNNNNNNNNNNNNNNNNNNNNNNNNNNNNNNNNNNNNNNNNNNNNNNNNNNNNNNNNNNNNNNNNNNNNNNNNNNNNNNNNNNNNNNNNNNNNNNNNNNNNNNNNNNNNNNNNNNNNNNNNNNNNNNNNNNNNNNNNNNNNNNNNNNNNNNNNNNNNNNNNNNNNNNNNNNNNNNNNNNNNNNNNNNNNNNNNNNNNNNNNNNNNNNNNNNNNNNNNNNNCAUGCAUUCAGGUGAUCUGAAGCUGAUGGAGUCAUCUAGGCCUAGAAAGGCGGUAAGCAGACCGAUCGAGAAGUUCCAGACUGAGAUGCUGCCUCCGAAAUCGGCCAAGUCAAUCCCCAUCACACAUCAUAAACUUCUAUCGCCUAUAAAGAGAGCCAAUUUCGUCUCGAGUAAUACUGCUGCUCACAUAAUGGAAGAAGCUGCAAAGAUCAUCAUCGAGCCUAGUCCUGCAAAGCCAAAGAUGACCGGUGUUGGAUCUUCUUCAUCAGCACCACCCUUGAAAGUUCGUAACUUGAAAUCGAGACUCGAGGCUACUCAGAGAACGCCUAUAUCCGGCUCAUCUGCACUGAGAGCCACCCGCGAUAUGAAGGAGAAACUCGAACCUGCUCCGAGAACUUCCAGGACUGCAGAAUCAUUUCGAAAACCUGCCGAGUCAAACGCUGCUAAGUGCCUUAAGGGGCAACCUUUGAACAAAAGCUGGAACGGACCGGCUGAUUCAGCAUCUUCGAGAGUUUCUCAUGAACCUGGGGAAGGAUCAUCUUCUUCUUCCGGUCAAAAGAGCAAGGGAAAGUCUGUCUCACUGGCUGUUCAAGCAAAGGUAAAUGUACAGAGAAGAGAAGGGCUGAAUCCGAAUGGGGGUCGAGAUCUUGUACAGCAAUUGAGAGAACAAAGUGAAGAUGUGACAAGCCAACCAUUCAGGAGCGAAACGAAUUUCCAGAAGAGUUCUUCAGCUAAUAAGAGGCAAUCGUCGUCUCCAAGUGCUUAUGGAGUUCUUAGACAGAACAGCAAGAAACNNNNNNNNNNNNNNNNNNNNNNNNNNNNNNNNNNNNNNNNNNNNNNNNNNNNNNNNNNNNNNNNNNNNNNNNNNNNNNNNNNNNNNNNNNNNNNNNNNNNNNNNNNNNNNNNNNNNNNNNNNNNNNNNNNNNNNNNNNNNNNNNNNNNNNNNNNNNNNNNNNNNNNNNNNNNNNNNNNNNNNNNNNNNNNNNNNNNNNNNNNNNNNNNNNNNNNNNNNNNNNNNNNNNNNNNNNNNNNNNNNNNNNNNNNNNNNNNNNNNNNNNNNNNNNNNNNNNNNNNNNNNNNNNNNNNNNNNNNNNNNNNNNNNNNNNNNNNNNNNNNNNNNNNNNNNNNNNNNNNNNNNNNNNNNNNNNNNNNNNNNNNNNNNNNNNNNNNNNNNNNNNNNNNNNNNNNNNNNNNNNNNNNNNNNNNNNNNNNNNNNNNNNNNNNNNNNNNNNNNNNNNNNNNNNNNNNNNNNNNNNNNNNNNNNNNNNNNNNNNNNNNNNNNNNNNNNNNNNNNNNNNNNNNNNNNNNNNNNNNNNNNNNNNNNNNNNNNNNNNNNNNNNNNNNNNNNNNNNNNNNNNNNNNNNNNNNNNNNNNNNNNNNNNNNNNNNNNCUUUGAACUAGUCUGUUAAAAAUAAGCUCAUUUCCUAGUUGCUGCAGAAUCAAAAUGUGGUAUCUGUAUAUAUUUUUGCAGGGAGUUGAUGCUAUGGAAGAAUGUAGCAGCAGCAGCAAAUAUGACUGCAGACGUCCAAGUCCGAUCUCGGUUCUUGACUAUUCUUUCUCAACUGAAAGCAGCUGCACAUUAGAGAGUAUGGACUACAGUAGCAGUACAGAGGGUAAGAAUUGUAUCUAUGAAGCUAUAGUUGGUUGUCGAAUAGUUUUUGGGGAUAAAAUUCUCGUCUUGAUGACUUUAAUUAAAUGUUCAAUCGAAAUCUAUCAGGAGGCAAGCAGUGUUCAUCUUCCAUUCAAGCACAAGAAGUCCUUGGCCUUACCUUUCUUCCCAAGAAACAUCAACACCACCCAGACACAGAGCUACUAGAUUCUGCUUCAUCGACAAGCUCCAGAAUCGCGUCUCUCGCUAGUACAAACAGAUCAACCGGCAGUGAUAAAUCGGACUAUUGGGAGGUGGAAUACGUCAAACAAGUGCUUGUUUACCUGGACUUGAUGUUCCAUGACUUUGCCAUUGGCAGAUGCAGCGAGGUCGUGAAUCCCCACCUCUUCGAUCAACUGGUGGUUGGAAAUCACUUCGAUCGAACUAGGCUAGAAAAAAGGGCACUGUUCGACUGCGUGAGCGAAUGCCUGGACUUACGAUGCAGCAGAUACAUCGGCGGAGGGUACAGUGCUUGGUCGAAAGGGACGACAGUGAUGAGUAGAAAAGACAGAUUGGCUGAAGAAUUGCACAGAGAGAUUGUAACGUGGAGGAAAAUGGGAGACUGUAUGGUCGAUGAGCUCGUCGACAAGGACAUGAGCAGCCAAUACGGGAAUUGGCUCGACUAUGAGGUAGAUGCAUUUGGUGUUGGAGAAGAGAUUGAAGGGUUAAUACUUAACUCCUUGGUUGAUGAGUUAGUCGCCGAUAUCCGGCCCCAAAAACUUACAAACAAGAGGAGAUUCAUAUGAAGAUGAUUCAUAUGCAUUUUAAGUCUACUGGUUUUUUCUGCUAUUGUAAGGAACAACUGAUGAUUCUCUCUAUAUAUAAGUCAAAAGUUGUAAUCAAAGGACUGCAGUUAAACAAAAUUGCAGACAUUUUGAUGACCACCAUUUCCCCACAAACUAUGCACUAUGUUUACACAUCAAACACUACUGAGCAACUUAUGAUAGAUAGAAACUAGACGAACAUCAAUGUUUUCCAAAAGAGCCUGAAGAGAAACCUUGUGAAAUGUCACAGCAACGAUGGAGAAGAUGAAGCACCAUCCUAGAGCCAUGGGAAACUGUUGUUGUAGUCUACUUCAUGAUCCCAUUGGAUGUUGUCAAUCUGGUCCCAAUCCAGCCACUCUUCUUCCCCUCCACCACCACACUUAUUACCAUUGCUUUCACCGCCUUUAUUCUCAACCACCAUAUCAUCAUUACGCUUCACUGCCGAAUCUUCUACCUCGGUGGGAAUCAGUGAGCUCUUAAGACGGUUUAUCUCGCUGUCCAGCCAUUCGUAUGGUUCCAGAACAUCCUCGUCUCCCACAACUUUCAUCCCUACCCCAUCCAACGACAUUAAUUCACCUCCCCCGCCAGCGGCGGUGGGGGCGGCCCCAUCAUCUCCGCUGUUCUGUUCGGCGGAAUUAGCACUAAUUCCGCUCAGUGAAGCUUCCGACUUCCCGUCUUUAGACUUUUCGGCGGGUUGUUUUUUCUUAUUGGCACUUGAUUUCCGGCUUUUGCCUCUACUCGCGGCGGCGGGGGGAGGAGCGAUGAUGUCAAUGGAGGUGGUGGUUGAAUUGGCGGAGGAGGAGGAGGAGGCGGCGGAAGAGGCGGACGAGUGGCCGGCGGCGGGUGAACGGCGGCUGGGGAAACAGUAAAUUUUGCGACUGAGAUGAGAGUUCCAGUAAUUUUUUAUCUCAUUGUCGGUUCUUCCGGGUAAUUGGGCCGCUAUCAACGACCACCUAUAUUAAAUCACAACACAGAUUUGGGCCACGUUAAUUACGGUAAAACCACAUAGCUAGAAAACAAAAUAGUGAAUUGUCAAUUUUUCCGAAUUAAAUGGCUUCUACAAGAUAGAUACUUGUAAUUCAAUCAUUAAGAAAUAUCUAUCGAGUAACUCCACAAGUUUAAUGAGAUUAUUAAUUAAGUUUAUGGGUGUUAAUCACUCCAACAAAAUGCAUAGUUUUUUAAUGACCUUUGUUGAAUUUUGACUCGGGUGUCAAAUUCUAAACCAUUUGAUCAAAUGUAACUAGUCAAAUCAGUUAGAUCGAUAGAUUAGAUGUUGAUUUUUUGUUUUACACACGUGAAUCGUAUAUGUGUUCGACAUAAAUUUGUCGUAAAAAGGUCAUGAAAGAAACGACGACAAAAAAGAUGUAAAUCUCAUGAUUAAUCAUAUGUCCCUAUCGACACACGAUCGCCUUAUAAAACGUAACAAUCAAAUGGUAUAAUGGUAUAUGUGUUAUGCUUUUUCCCGGAAACAAAUCUUUGGCUGAUACUCCACCAUAUAUGUCAAUGACUAGUAUAUGGUUCCAUAUAUGUAGUAUUCCGUCAUCUCUCUCAUGCUAUUUUAUUUUAAAUAAAACAAUUAUAAAAUAAACAGAAAUACUUCAAAUAACGAUAUAUAUGCGCGUAUAUACAAACACAUACGUGAUAUUUUAAAUAAAAUAAAAAAAUUAACAAUAACACAAUUCUAAUAACAUCAUACAUCCAACACCCUAAUACGAAAUUUACGAAAAAAAGGAAUGAAUACCUAUUGCCAAGAGCGUUGUGGAGCUUAACAAUAGUCUCUUCCUCAUCCUUGGUAAUAUUCCCACGCUUCAAGUCAGCCCUUAGGUAAUUAAUCCACCUCAGCCUGCAACUCUUCCCACACCUCAACAGACCUGAAAAAAAAUAACAAUGAGUAUCAAACGAGCAAGACAAAAUAGUACGAUGACCAAAACGGAGAACAAAUUUUCUUAAUCUUUUUCAUUUACCUGCGUCCUUGGGGAGAGAGCGCCAUUUGCCUUCGCCGUUCUGGAGAAUGUACGCCGUCAAGAUCUGGUCUUCCUCCGCCGUCCAUCUCCCCUUCUUCAGGCCGACUUUCUCGCAGCACGGAGCUCUUCCCAUUUUCUCGGAGACAGAUGUGUAAAUUUUUUCACUUUGGUUUUGUUUCUGGAAGGAGGCAGAAGAGAAAAGACGCAAAGUUAAUGAGGAGAAGAUGACAGUAGUGUCGUCUUACUAUUAUACCCAGUUGGAGUGUGAGAGAUGGUGGUAAUAUGGACACGUAAUGGGGGAUACGGGGUGCCACGUAUGCUAAUUUUAAUUACUUUUGGUGUAUUUAAACCAGUUGACUUAUUAGGCUCGGUAAAAAUUCAAUUAGAUUCUGUCCAGCCCAGCGCAGAUUUGUUUUUAAUUACUGUAUUAGAACGAUAAUUUAUUACUUCCUUAUCUCGUUGUUUAUGGUAUAUGAAAAAGCUCUAAUAAGCAGUUACCAUAAUUAAUUGUUUCAGUUUCCCCCCUUGGUUAUUAAUUACUUUCCUUACUUAUUUUGUUGAGGUUUACAUUGUUUACUUAUUUGCUUUGUGGGUUAUAUUUAAGGUAAGAUGUAUCGAAUCGUUGAGGAUAAUGUAACCGUUUUUAUAGUGGUUAAAGUUUUAAAUUACGGAAGAUAAUAGUUCGAAUAGUUUGUUACUCGAUUGUUUAUCGAUUUGUGAUGUCGGUUAAAACCUUACUAGGUAUGAAAUCAAAGAGGAUUGUGGGUACGUAGCUAGCUUGGGGGUGGGGACGAUGGUUGCAGACGAGUACAAUUGCUGAUUGAUUUCAUAUGCGUUGUUCGAUCACCUUGUAAUUCUCCGUCUGCUAUGCUCGCUAGUGGUUAUUAUUUUGUGACAGGGAUGUUAAAUCCUCCUUCACGGUGGAUGAAGAAUCAACACUAACGAUGCAAUCACAUUUGCGAGGGGAGGGGGUAUGCGGUGGGAGUGAUCAAGAGGAAUAGAUAUAGCUAGGUGGUGGUGUUUCUUUAGCAAGAAAAUGGAUUCCUAUUUGGUUUAACUUUGUAGGGGGAUUUUAGCUAGACAUGCGCUACUUGUUGUCCUAUGUUUCGCUUUAUGGAUCGAGGUUUCGUAAAUUUCGACCUGUUUCGAUUAAUAUGCCUUCCGAUACUAAAAGACAAGGUUUGACCCUGACUUCUGUCUAUCGAGAUAUCCACUCGUUAAAAUUGGGGUGUUCAACUAUCAAGUAACAAAUACCAAACCACUCAUAUUUAUCGUAAUACAAAUAACCCUUGUUUUUGAAAACCCAACCGGACCGAACGGUCCGAUUGCAAACCAACUCUUAGCCCAAAACUAGUUUGACAGUUUGUGAGAUGGGUCAGAGGCGGGUAUUGACCCAAACUUGACCAAAACAUUCAGCCGGUUGAACUGAAAUUGUUGGGCCGGUUGAACUAUAUUUUUAUGCCUACUCUAUUUUGUAAAAGCUGUUGCAAGUAGGAGUAGGAUUCAAACCCUAAUCUUUAAAAUAGAGAUUAUGAGUAAUUACCAUCUCCGUUCAUGUCAUGAUUCGAAUAAUGUAUGCAUUUAAUUGACAAUAAUAAACAUUAUAACAACUAAUUAACUCUAAAAAGUAUUACAUCACUAUAAAUUAAGUAAAUUAUAUAUUAUUCAAUUACCCUUUAAUUAAUAAAAAGCUUCAAAUAAUGUAUAUAGUUUGAAACUUGUUAAAAAAAAUUAAUUAUUAACUAUAGUUUUGAUAAGUUAGAUUAUGAUAUUAAAUUCUUUAUCCCACCGGUCUGAUCCACCUCAAUAAAAAAAAAUUAUCCGCCCCCCUUUAAUCAUAAUUAUAUUUAAUAAUUAAAAAUAUCUAAUCUCGAUCGAACCACCAAACCCUAAACCGGUAAAUUCACCGAUUCAAUCUCCAAUCCGAUUUUCAAAACCUCAAGUUACUCCGCUUCUUCAUUCUAGGUUUAGCAUUUAGUUAACCGGUAAAAUUUGGAGACGGUGGAGGGGGUGGGGGGACAGGAAUUCGUGAAGAACAAAUGUAGGAAAUUACAGUUUCAGCGGUGAAGAAGAACCCAUAUAUGUACCUGGUUUCCCAAUUUGGGAUGGGACUUAGAGACAUACUCUAUUUAAUGUCGACGGUUGGAUAUUUUCUGAGAGAUAGCCGCUCUCUAAUAAAUAAUAUCUUUCUAUAUAUUAUACUCAUUUUUUUUUAAAAAAAGUAUACAACUGGGACCGCAACACAAGAAGACCUACCUACAUGCUUACUAAUAUCCAUAAUUAUUAUUAUUAUUAUCUCUGCGUCUAAAAAUGGGCUGCAGCUUUGCUGGAUGAUGGAGAGACCCUGAGAGACCUUUCUUCCUAUAAACUAUACAUAUUCCCAAACCAAUUCCUUCCCCUCUAUAUUAAUUUCAUUCUUUCUGUUUCUUCUGUUCAUCCCUUUCCAACAUAAAUGAACAGCAUGUUGAAUGCGUAUGAGCUGUUUAUAAGGAUUCUUCAUUUGUAUUAACUUGUUAUUAUGCUAUUAUUUCACUCCCAUAUAUCACUCAACUCAACAUGGCUUCCAUGUGGGUGGAUUGUUUUCGAAAAACAAAAAAUUAUCGAUGCUGCAUUUCAAUUUUGUGAUUUUUUUGGCUAACCAUGUACUCAUAAAAAAAUGUAUUUGUAAAUUGAUUAUUCGAUAUAUAGAUUUUAAAUUUAAAUAUGAAUCCGUACAUGUACGAAUAUGAUAAUAUGCAAAUAGUAUUUGACAAGCAUCAGAGAUUGUAGUGAAUGGGGGCACAAACGUCUUUUUUUAACUUACUUACUUGGCAAGUGUAGCUGCCAUUCCUGGGGGAAACGUUCACGUGGAUAGCUAUCUACUCCCCAGAAAAGCCUCAUUUUAGCGAGCCAGCUCUGUUGGGGAGUGGAUGAUUCAAUCUGCAGUGUAGUCAAAGUCAAAAUCAACUACUACUAUAUUAAGGGAUGGAUGAUGCCUAUAUGACCAAAAUGAACACUUUUUUAUUAUUAUGUAUGUAUCAAAUCAAUUUUAAACAAACGUGCUACAGUCAGCAUUUUCGUCACACUUAUUUUGUUUUUGUCCGGAGGGAGUCAUUCGCCGCCAAGACUCACCUUUUGCAACGACAGACAGUGAGUGUGGGUGGCAUCUAGGGGUGUAAAUAGGUUGGGUUGGGGUGGGUUUUAGAGGGUUGGGGUUGGGUUUAGGGAUUAAUAGGUUAUAAAUUUUGUUAACUCAGCCCAUCCUUUUUUUUAAUCUAACCCAAUUCAAUUCUAAUGGGUUGGUGUGGGUUGAGUCGGGUUUUAUUAUGAGUUAGACCAUCCUCCUAAUCGUCACGGCUGGAAAAACCCAAGGUAAGGAAAAGGUUAUUCUUUUAUUGGCGCAGUAGUCAGUAGAAGGAAGAUUAGGAGCUUGGAAAUUAUAAAGCCGAACGAAUUGGCUCCAUUGAUUUUCUUUUCUACUCUGUUUUCAUCCAUGGCCACUUCGUCGCAUCGUUUUCUGUCCGCACCAUUCACCUGCCAUGCCAAGCUUCCACUUUUGCUACUGUCAAAAUGGUCCUAUCUCUAUUUUCCAAAAAUGCCCUCCAACCUGCUGAUGAAUGCACACUUUUUUUUUUUUGGUUAUAUAUUUAUAGCUGAUAAGUGAUAGAUAACAUAACACAUAUCCUGGUCCCGGAAAUGAAGACGGCUGCAUGUGACUAGGCUUAAUUAUCACAUACGUACAUGCCCUACUUGCGUCAUGCUCUGCAUGCUAUACAUAGCUGUUGAACCUUCCUGACACUCCGGCUUUGGUCAACCGACGACGAAAUAUUCUACCGCCGGCCGACGAUAUUGCGGCCAUCUUGUAAUGUUUUCCCUACGGAGCAGUUGGAGAUGAUUCAGUCCAGAAGCUGCCACGUAACAUCAGUCACCAACACAAAUUUUGGUUACCCCUACAUGCAUGGAAUUGGACAGCAAGCUAAAAAGUAACUUUUUGAUUGAAUGAUUUCCACUAAUCAAUCAUUGUAUUAAAUAGAUGUGAGUACUUGUCAACUGAUAUAUAUAUAAACAAUGUUGACUUUUCAACGAUGAAACAUAUAUAUAAAUGCAUGCUAUAUAUUGUGAAAAUGAUGAUUAAUGAAGAUGACCCCUCCAAACUGUAAUCAACGCUUAACCAAAGCCCACUACAGCCAGUGAACUUUUAAGUGACAUCGAAUCGGUACGCUGGUUUGUGCUAUCAAGAUAUCAAAUGCUUCAGGUAACAUUAUAUAGGAAAGCAUUGAGUGGACUUGGGUGAGCAACUUUGCUUAGAUGGAUUUGAGCAUACUCAUCUGGCAAUUGAGCAAGAGCUAGCUAGCAUAGGCGGGGACUUGUGUCUAUUACCAAACAAAGUGAAAAUUAAAGGAUUAUUCCAUUGCUUCGGGAACUAAUUAACGUCUUCACAAGUUCAUUUCAGAAUCAAUGUUGUUAACUUCCACAACCAAAUAUUCCCGUCUGAUCACAUAAGAAGAAAUGCGGGUACAUCGCUGAUGAUAAUAUAUGCACUGCAAAGAAAACAAAGACCAGUAGCCAAAAGCCACUAAAGCUUACGAGUGUGGGGUGGAUGUAGGAGUUAGUGACUAGUUUGAAUGCUUCUUACCCUGCAAGCCAGAGUGGCUAGGACACUACAUUAUCUGUGUAUCAGAAGAGCACAAUAAAGCUGCGAAUUAGAAACAAUGUUACCCUUUACCAGUAAUCAGCACGUACGGUACGAAAUCCCAUUUGGUUCAUUAAGGCUAUAACUCAAUAUCAACAUUUGAAAUUUCAGUUAUAUACUACUUGAAAACAGAUAAUCUAUGAACAAAAGAUCAAUAGUCGUGAUGUGCUAAAUGAGGCUACGGACCCUACACUUUAUAUUCAGGAUGUGGUCGAUGUUUUCAUCGCAUAUUAUCAUUUCUGUUAUUCUAGCUUGAAAGUCUGGUUGAAGACUAACAUCAACUUUCUUCACACAAACCAGAAAAGUUAUCAUAAACCGAUCAAGAGUGCAAGAGAUCAGCAUAGAGAAGCUGGUUCCACUGAAGUGAGAAGCAGAGUAUCCACGGAAGAACACUCUGGUACGGCUAGCGUUGAUAUUGGAAUCAACCCAUUAAGCCCACGUCCACAGUGCUUUCUUGUACGCUUCACUCACUUGCAGCUUGAUGUACACGUGGCUCCCUUCUUGAUAGUAAUUCUUCCUACAACUUUAUAGCAACUAAGCCCAGUAAUUUAAAUCACAACAACACCAAAAUUGAUGAUCUUAAUUUAACCACUUACCCUCGGUUGGUUUUCUUGUGAGUCCACCAGUGUCCAGUGUUGAACACGAUGACGUCGGCAUUUCUAUAGUCAGAGAAGCUCCUCUGUAUCAUGUCAAGCCUCAGGGUUUCUCUUUUCUUCCGAUUCAUCCUUGUUUUUGUUGUUGUUCUGUUCGAAUCCUGCUUCCAUUCCUGUACUAGGAAUGUCAAUUUCACAAAGUCCAGCGAGCAAUUGAAUUCCUGCCAAUUUGGAGAUUGAAAUAUCAUCUAGUCACGAAUGGAACCAAAUUAGAAACAAACAGUACCGUUUAAUGGACUUACGGUGAAUUUCACAGAGUAGAACCCCUGCGUUCUGAACUCCCUUCUGCCAAACUCUUCAAAGAUUCCACUCUUGUUCUUCACCGAUUCUCGCAACGAACACACCAGAGCUUGCCACAUGUUCCUGCUCAAAGAAUCUCCCACGAAUACCAGUCUCCUCCCUCUCAGAAUCUCCAGCAUCUUUCUCCCGUUAAACCUGCAGGAAAAAAAAGAUAGUACUUUUUCCCCUGAUUUUGUUUGGAGCUCCGACGGCAGAAAAUAAGAAGAAGGAAAAAAGACAAGUUUGACCGUGGAAUGUUGCAACCGUACGGCUUCCACCGGCACCGGAGAUAACCCAAAAAGUCCCGGCCGUUCUUGAAGCAAUUGGACGAAUCGUCGAGGAAGGGGCAUGAACCGGGCGGGUAAACCGGAUCCCAGUGGUCGACAACCCAAUUCCCGUCAAAGAUAUUGCAUGAAGUGGGCCGAGUCAAGAACUCGUCUUCGUUUCGGGAUUUCCAGCGAGGAGUAAAUUUCGUAGCUGCGGCGACAGAAGAGAGCGUCGGGCAUUCCGAGAAGACGGGGCAAGUGUUGAAGGAAUCGACGGGAGAGAAAGAAGAGAGGGAUUCUUCGUGGUUUGCGUCGACGGAGAAAAGGCGGGAAGCGGAGGGAAUGGACGCGGCGCCAGCGCCGGAGUCAUUGGUGGUAGCGGUGAAGAAGAAGAAGGAAGGCGACAGGCAGAGGAAGGUGAUCAUCAAGAAGAAGGGAGUAUUUGCGUAGAGUGGAUUCUUGGGUUUGUGAGGGUGAUGAUCUUGAGCUUCGUCAAAGAUUCCAUGGCGGAAAAGAAAGAAUCGGAAGGAGAUUUCUUGUUGUAGUUGAUUGGUGAACAGAGUAAUUUCCUUCUGGAGGGAAGCGCGAGGAGGGAUAAAUUUAAUUUAAUUACGAAUUUUAAAUUUGCUGCUAUUGGGCCCGAUUGACCUCUAGGCCUAUUCCAGAAUCUUGUAGCUUGGGCCCAAUGGACGAAACCAGAGGCCUUGUUAAUUGUCGGUCUAUUUAUCCAGAUAAAUUAUACAGAUAUUAAUGAACUUGUACCACACUGCCAAGCCAAAAAAAACAAUACACUACUGCUAACUUCAACUUUGCUCAAUGCUGCAAUGAUUCACCAAGCCUGAGCAGCAGCAAUGGCGGAAACAAGAGCAGACAAGAAGAGAAAUCCACUGGCAGACUUCACAACAGUGCUCUGAGAAGCCUGAAGAUGUUCCGACACAUCGAAAUUGCCUCUAUCAGGACCAUCACUGCACCCUGCCUUCAUGGUGUCCUUAACAUCCUCAAUCGUGGCAGUGUUAUAGAAUACAAAGUUCUCCAUUAUCCCUUCGACACAGUCCAGCACCAAGUUAGUCUCCGAAAAGCAUGGCCCACCGCAGUAGGCGUCCACUUGAUCCAGUGGAACGCUCAGCCUCCCGCUCUCGUUCAGCCUGUAGUCUUCAUCGCAGGUUCUGUAUAUCUGAAUCAAUCAUAUUUUAUAACAUUAUGUUGUGAUAAAUCCAACUAACAAGUUUCAAGUUUCUUCCUUCUUUUCCUUAAUCUAGUAUUUAGUAAUGUUUUACCUUCCUGUCAUUGAAGCAUACCAAAGCUCUUGCGACGAUUUGGGCAGGAUCGUCAGCAUGAUGACUACUGCUCGUAUCAUCAUCGCUACCUGAAGAUGAGGAGGAGGUCGGAGAGGUUCCUGAGCUUCCGCGGUUUCCAACGUCCAAGUAAGGUGCAUCUACAUCUGCCUUUCCUGUCAUAUCGAUCAUCAGCUUUUAAAGUUCAAAUCUUUACUAACAAAUCGAAAACUGGUAAUGAAACAUACUUCAUAAUGAGACAUUGUACCUAGUUGGCAGCAGGAAAUGAGUAGUGACAGAAGAAACAGAACAAUGAAAACGAUCCUUUUUGUGGCUGAAUCUGCCAUGGAUAAUUAUUAUCAAGUUGUGUUUUUAAGGGGGGGCAGCAGUUGAUAGAACGGUGGGAGAAUAUGAAAUUGUGGUGUAUGGUCAUUAUUAAAUAAGAAAGGAGUUACACCAACCAUGGAAAACAAAAGCAUCAUUGGGUUUAUUUCCUUAGCUUGAGAGAUUGAUUACUUGGACCGAUUGGCAUAACUAGCCCUUUCGGAUAGACAAUGCAGGGAAAAACCAUUGAUUUGGUUUGUGAAAUGGAAUAUGAAUAUUCAGUCAUUUACUUGUGGGAGGAGAGAACUGAAAGAGAGUAAAGAGGUGAGGAGCAGUUAGAGUGCAAGUAACCAACUUUCAACCAGUAAUGGAAACUUAGUUCGUCACUCAAUCAAAUACUUGACUAAAAGUCUUACAUUUGCAUUCUUUGACAAUAAGUAGGUGUGUGCAUCUAGAAUAUGGUGCGUCAGAUACUACAAUAACAAAUGGGAAGCAAAGGAAUCGAUUGUGGAUUCAGAGACCUAAUAAGAAGCAAGAAACAAUUUGUGUUUGGAAUUGGUUUUCUUUAUUGAAUUCAGACAAGUUUCCAGGGAGUAGUAUGUGAAUAUAUUCACCUGCUUUGAAAUAUCAGCCCUGGAGUUGCGCAGUAGAUUCUGCACAAACAAAUUUCCAUCUGAAAAAAUAUGGAUUACAGCCAUAAGAUUCGAUUGAGUAAAGAUGCAAUGCUUCAUGAAGCUAACAAAACAACAAAAGGGGAAAAUAUUGAUUGACAAGUGAAACGUAGGGUCUUCAACAUCUCAAUCAACCGCGAAUUAGCGAACAAAACAGCUACCAGAAUUUCACCUUUCCGACAGACGGAGUUGGCUGUAUCGUGUUUCGGUAAACACUCAGCUCCUUUCCCGAGAGGAUGUUGACUAUGAUCGACUGGUUAUCGCCGGAAUUUGAACGGAAUCAGUUGGAAAUUGAUGAGUAUUGCAUGUCCAAGCAUUUGCCAAUGCCCAGAGGCCAACGACACUGACGUUUUGCACGGCCGGAGAUCCCCGGAGGUUCAAGGUGCCAGAAAAUGGGCCCUCAGCAGGCCACUAAAUAACUAAUUUGCGCUUAAAGGAUAGCCCAAGAAAUAUUGGGCUUCUACAGCUAGACAGUUCUUCCCAUACUUCUUAUUACCUAAGUUUAAUUUUUGUGACAAGGUGGUCACUUAUUGUAACAUUCCGGGUCGUGGUGAACUUAGGCCACGGUUUUUCGCUCCUCGACGUUCAAAGUCAGCCGGAAUUCGGAUUUGAGGCGAAAUCCAUCAGGUUUUGACAGUUCCUUACCUCUACAUUCGAAAUUUAACUGUUGAAAUUAGACGGAACUAAACCCCAUAAAUCUAUCAAAAUUAAAGUUUUAUCCGAUGAGGAUCUCCAAAUUAAGGCAUAUAUAUGAUAUAUUAUUGGGUGAUGAGAGGCCAUAGUAAAAGCUAUCGAUCAUGUUCCAAAAGUCGCAACCAAACUAUUACAAUAUUACUUCUUCUUCCUUCAUAUUUCCCCUCCCUAACAAAAAGGAUAUUCUAUUGACAGCUGAGAUAUAUUGGAUAUCUGUGAAGCCAAUUCAAUCGCCCCGCCAACCCACUCCUCCCCCCAACCCAAAAAAUUCACCUGCCAUGCACCUAAUCAAAACGACUCACCCUGCACCAACCACAACAGGGGAAAAUGUCGCCAUGGUUACCGUAAGAAACAAGUUAAUUUCACCAAGUUUGGUGAAACCAAACAGAUAAGACUUUGAAAUUAAACUGGUUCUUAUACUAACAUUAACGUUAGUGGUGGUUGUGGUGGAUGUACAAGCUGGCCUUCUAGGCGGUAGCUGCUGAUGUGGCGUUCUCUGCAUUCAACCAAAAUCACCUUCUUCCGUUAAAAAAAAAUUAACUAUUUACUUUGCUAAGUAAAGUAAUUACAUGGUAGUUUAAUAAUUUACCUGUAAUUUAGGUUGCAAGGUUUCCAUUGCUACUACCGUCGACGUCUCACUACUUGUCCCUGAUCCUUGCUGCUCCCAUGUUCAUGUAAGAAACACAUCAAAUCCAAUAUAUAGUUUGGGUUGGAUCCGUUCAAUCGGUUCGGUCAUCGAUGGGAUAGGUUAAGUCAGGGUGAUUGGUUGAGUUGAAUCUCAUAUGAAAUAGGUUAUAUGAUAGUGAGUAUAAAUUUAUUUUCUACUUUAUCCCUUCAUAUAUCGUAAUUUGAUUUAAUUUUCGAAACUCAAAACUCAAUUAUAUUAAUUAUACCAAAAAAAUUGGAAAUCCAUGUGUGAGCAUUUAAAAUAGGACGGCAGGCUUAUUUAUUUGAGGGGAAAAAAGGAAUUUGAUAGGGACCAUGCAUGUUAUAGAAAGUGGACCAAAUCUGGAGUUUGGCAUAGUAACUAAUAAACCAAUAAAUUUGUGGAAACUGAGUCUUUAUUAUUAUAAUAAUAAUAAUAAAUUACUUACCUUACAAAGAGCCCAAUCCGCCGAAUCGAAGAAUGCACGUUCAUUGUCCUGCAUAAUAUCACCAAUUUCCCAAUUCAGCACCACGUUUAACAUGUCAUUAAUUUAUUCUGAUUUCCGUUUAAUUGUCCCUUCAAUUUAAUUAGCAAUUAGUAUAGAAUCACCUUUGCAAUCAAUGGCUUCUUCUUUGGUGCAAGCCCACCGUACUUCUGUCCAACCUAGUAUUAAGUACCCACAUUUAAUCAGUACACGUAAUCAUCAUACCAUAAAUCAUAAGAUUAGAACGUGUUAACAAUUCAGUCCACUAUUCCAGCAAUUUAUUUAAUCGAACCGGACUUUGGUCGACUCGAGUUAGCAAUCAAUCAAAAUUAAAAUGGAAAUCGAGCACGUGAUUCGGAGCAAGUACAGAACGAAAACAACAAGGGAGUGUUUGUCUCUGUGUCUAAUCUGAAAGUUAAAUUUUCUUCCGAGGGUUUGGUACGCCGUACGCCACAAAAUGUCUGAGUUGCUCUGGUUCCCCAAUCCACCCGUUGGGGAUGGCAGGAUACACGUGUAUACACAGGCACCAAACAAGGCACUAGCAGCUUCUUUUUUGCUUUGCCACCGAGGACGUCGUAUCAACAACCUCAAAGGGCCCUACUUUACUAAUGAUAACAGGUGAUUAGUGACGGAAACUGGUUAGGUUGGGAAAUUGAGUUUGGUUGGUAAUUAUUACGACGAGGGGGCAGCGGUUACGCAACAAAAUGAAAAAACCCCACUUAAUUAGGCGAUUAGGUGUCCUAAUUAGGCCCUAAAGAAAUGUUCAAAUGUAUUCAGUUGAUGAGAGAGAAGAAAAAACAGAGUACCUGGAGGAGGUUUCCGCCGCAAUCCGCCAUGGCUCUGCUCCUGUGGAAGAAAAAAAACAGAGACAUACCGAAACAGAGUUAUGGAUAACAGAGAGAUGGAGAUAGACAGUAAAAGCGAAACGUAAAGGUGGGGCGGGGGGAUCAAAGUGAGUACGUUACAGACACAACGGAUAAAAAAAGAUGGUAUCUUUGUGAUGAAGAAGAAGCAGAGAGAGUGGGGGAGAAGCAGAGAUGGGUUUUGGAAUACCUGGUGGAGAAGAGAAGAGAGCUCCUUAAAAUUCGGGAGAGGGGGGGGGGGAUAAGGAUUCAGAGAGUGGGUUUUCAAUUGGCGACGAAGAGAUAUAUAUGAAGGGGAGGGGAAAAGAGCCGAUACAAAAUAGGGAAGAUAGAUUGGUUUGGCGAAAUAAAUGAAAAAAACAAGGGGAAACGAAUGAUAUUGUUCCAAGGACGGACCGACAAAAUUUGAGUGUCCAUUUUGAAAAUUGAUGAUUUGGUUAGACGGAGGGUUUGAACAACCUUUUUUACUGUAAUUGUUGUAUUUGUGUGGCAUUUAGAUACAUCCAUUCGGAAAAAGAAUAUUCUAAUUUCAACAUUUACGGUUGUCGGAUUCGUGGUUUAUAUUCAUACAUCUUAUAGUUAAUUACGGUUUUUUUUUUGAGAUUUGAACAAUUUGAAAAUUAUUAGUUUGAUGACCUCAAAUGGAUGUAGAAUGUUUAAAAAGUUUUGUUUUUUUUAUAACCAAUCAUUGUUGGCAGUAACUCAACUCCCAAAGUAAAUCUGUUUUCAUUUUGAAAGUUUCUUUUUGGAUCGUAAAUUUUAUCGUUUAGUGACGAUUAUAUAACUCCUAAAAUUGGAGGCAUGUGUCGAAGUAAUGUCUAUGAAAGUAAAUCUCUAUAUUAGAGUAUUGCUAACAAGAAAUGCUACUUUGAGUAUUUUGUUAAUUCAAACGCUCGAACUAUCUAAACUCCUAAAAGAAGAUUAUUAGCUAAAGGGAAAGCAAUUGAAGUAAUUAAUCAACAUGUAACCGGGUCAUCGACAUUAAGAGUCAUCUAUAUUUAACGUUUUUAAAAAAAAUAUCUUAACGUCGUUUUUUUCAUCAAAAUGUGCUAAGUCGCAAUUUUCGCAACUCGCCGUUGGCGUUUUCCGUUAGAAUCCGUCUACUUUACCACGCAGAUCUGCCACACAUACAUGUCACGCCAUCAUUAAUCCUAAUCAUUACUGAAUAUAUAAAAAAUUAUUUUUUUUUUAAUUUUGACGGUGAGUUGUGAAAAUUGCAAUUCAGACCAUUUUAAUGAAAAAUACAAUAUUAGGAUAUUUAAACAUAGAAAAUUCUUAAUGUGAAUAAACCACACGUAACCAGAUGUUUGAACAUUUUAAGAUCGUAAGAUACAGUGAUAUUGUAUUUAGGACACUGAUAUUAUAUAGAAGCGAGAAAAAUAGGAGGGGGUGGGUUGAAAGUGGAAGCAAUGUUGGGUAUGUGGCUGGUGGGCAAGGAAGGACUUGUGAAGCUACUAUUGUAAUUUGAAUUAUGGUUUCACUUCGCCAACACAAGCUACAUAAAAACAAAACAAACCACAACAGAGAAAUACUGUCUUUACAAAGGGGGUUUUGUUAAUUAUGACCCCUUCUCCAUUAUAAUACGUUUUAUUUUCAUAAAAAUAUGAAUAUUUGAAAUUUAAAUUGAGUGAACGGCUAAUACAAAUACAAUCUUUUAUGAUAAAUUACAUAAUGUAUAAUCUGAUAUUAAGUUGCUUAGAUAUCUCUCGUAGGAGAGCCGUGAAAUUCUAAUCGCCGCCACCAUAACACCACUGCCAACUCCACCACCGCGGUUGCUACCAAUCCAUUGUUUGCGCAAGCAACGAAAUCGCCUCGCCCUAUGUAGCCGACCGGAUAUGCACCACUGCAACACCCACCUAGCCCAAGCUCCGCUAUCAUCACCAACAAUCAAGCCAUCCGACACUCUCCAUGGUAGCCGUCCAUCCAAUACCACAUCCGCAAAAUCACCUAAGAAGCUAGGUCAGGGUUCCGCUUCUGCACCAUCAGUCGAUAUACUAAUGGGGACCGGUCUACCACACUCACCAGAUUGUGCCAACCAACUAAGAUCCUUUUACCUUUCUUGGUGGUUCCAAUAAGAAUGUACGUACAUCUAAUUUUUUUAGGUUUUUUUUUUCAAUAGUGAUAAUUUCGUGUUUGUUGUUUUGACUUUAUUUUUUUUUGUUUUCUUUUAUUUGAAACAUUUUUGAAUACCACAUCCUUUUGUCAUAUAUCAAUUAUAAAAAAAGAGGAUUGAAAUCUUCCUGCUUACACAUAUCCACAACUCAUACCACUAUGAUUUAUGGGGAUUACACAUUCUCUGUACAUUCUCCAAUUAUAAUUAUUUUGGGAGAUACUCUUUGGUUAAAAAAAAGAUGCAGGAAGGAAAAAUAGACAGAAUAUCCAGUUUGUGGUUAGAGUUCAAACUAUAGACAGUUUUACAUGGACCAAAAUGAGAUGGGCCCAUUUCCAUGCGUUCGGCCCUUUUCUUUCAUCUCUUGUACAAUAAUACAAAAGUUGACGUUGACUUGACUGUAAAAUCUAAAUUCCCACAUGCCUAACUAUUCAGGUCAUUUCAACUCAAGCGUGGUUGUUAUUAGCAAUUCUCAUGAAAGCAAUCAUCAUUCAUGAGAGACAAGACCAUAUAGCUGCUGCCAUUUGUUUCCUCUGCUAAAAUUUCCCUCCCUUUAAUGAUUCACGAAUAAUCUCAACUAUUUGGAUCUAUUCCCCACAGCCUUGGCUUCCUUUCAAUCAACUUGUCCACAACAUAUAGGAAUCGAAUCUCCCCACUCUUCGAGUUGAGCCAUAAUGUCUCAGCAAACUCUUCAAAACAAUCGAUUUCUGCAACUGGGUUUAGAAUAUGACAAGCAAGUAAACAGAACAAUCAAACCUUUCUUUUAAUCUCUAGUCCAUGAGUACAUCCUCUGUUUUCCUCGAGGCAACAACUUCAGGUUUGUUUCACAGUAGAAAACAAACAAACGACAAAAUAGUAAAGCAAAUCUUCGAAAUCCUUAUCUCACAGUUGCUUCCCUAUGAACAAAGAAACUGCAAACCCAGCAGAGGGAACCCUUAAAAGCUGGUCAUUCACUCACUCACUCCUUAUUGACCAAAUCAUUUUCAAUCUUAGUAUUCUAUUCUGUUUACCAAUCUUUGCCCCUGCCUCCUAUCUUACAUUUGCUAAGAGCAAAAGAAUCAGUUUCCAGUUUAACUUAUAAUGAUAAUAAUAAUAAUCAUCAUCAAUUCAUCAUCGUAAUCAU
rnacentral:lncRNA from 1 species